rnacentral:lncRNA from 1 species
AGGAGGAAUCUGUUGUGCUGUGUUAGGCAUUCAUGUAGUCUGAUUAGGAGUGCGACUCAAUGUUAAAUUGAUUAUUGUAAUUUUUUAAUCUGUUUAGUCUUUUUCUAGAGAACAGUUUAGUAGAUGUUUUUAGUUAAUGUGUAGAUAUCAUUCUUAUAAAGAAUUCAACCACAAAUAUUUUGUAGUAGUUAGGUUGUUGAUUAAUAUGGCUCAAAUGCCAUUUUAGUUUGUACGUGGCUUAAUUUUUUAUAAGUAUUUAUGUACAAUUUUUUUUUUUUUUUGCAUUCUAUGUUAAUCUGUUUUGUGGGUGAUCAUUUGUAACAGCCAAAAUCUUGACUUGCAAUUAGUGGUUUAUGUGUUAAACUACAGCCAAAUAAUGAUUUCUAGAUAAAUUACUAUUUUUAAUACCUCAUAUAUUAUGUUUUUUGGUCAAUAUAAAACUGGCCAGGGCAUUUUCGAUUUCCAUCGCGCGAAGCGCGUUUGUGCCUCCUAGUAUAUUGAGUGCAAAAAGUCAACUUUGAAUAGUUGUCGCGCGAGGGUUUCGUAUCACCGUUUUCUCUCGGGUUUGAUACACUCAUGCACUAAUUCUCCAAGGUACUUCCUUUAACACUAUAAUUAUUCACUCUUACUAGUCUAAUAUUAAUUUCUCAAAUAUCUAAUUAGUCGCGUGGUGUGAAUUUCGAGAAAUUUGCGACACGCGCGCGAUAAAGCGAAAAUUUGAACUCACUCACCUCUAAUUCUCAAUUAAAUUUUCUUAGUCUACUAUUGACCAUCCUUUAUUCUUUAUGGUAAUUGUACUCUCGGAUCGAAUAUUAUCUCGAAAAACGUGUAUUCACUAUUCUUUUACUAAAUGAGUCGCAGAAAAUUAAUUUUGCUAACGGGACGUUUUAAAAAUAUGAGUAAGACAUUGUUUCAUGUAAAUGAAUUUAAAAUGGUUGAAAUAAAUUAUUCGAGGAAAACGGUUGAAUAAAUAAUUAAAUAAACUAGUAAAAUAAGGUAAAAAUAAAAAAAUUUCAGAUUCUCACAUGAGGGGCGAAGGGUGGCGGAGGAAGGGUAGGUGGGUUUGGGGGGAAAGUGAAGCGCGGGCUGCUGAUGUUUGAUGAAAUGCUUGUGUUGAAAUUCAAAAUUUAUGUUGAUCAUUUUCCUUUUCAACAAAUAAAUUGUUAUCGUGUGAAAAAAUAUAUGCAGCUCGGGGAUUGAAAUGCACUACUUUCAAAAUAUAAGGGCUAAACAUGGAUAAUUUGAAAAUGUGAAGGACUUUGUAUGAAAUCUUUCCAAUACUUUUUUCCAUUUUCUUGCUUCUUUUCCGCUCUUCAUUUUAUGUUUAUAUCUUCUGCCACCAGUGGAAGGGUUUCAAAUCUUCUGUCCCCAAAGUAGUCUAUGUCUCCUCUGUUCCUUAUUUGUACAACUGUCACGUGUCUUUAGCCUUUUUGUUAACCCAAACUCAAAUAAAUCGAUAAUAAUCGGUUUACAAAUUUUGUCAAUCCAAACUCAAACAAAAUAAAAAAGAGUUUCAGUUGAUUUCUAUGUUUAUGAUCAACAAGACUUUUUUUUGUUAAAAUGAAAAUAAAAAAAAGUUUUGAAUUAUCUAUUUUAAUUGAUUUUGACUAAACUUAUCAACCGAUUAUUAUCGGUUUAUUUGAGUUUAGGUUAACCAAAAGGUUAAAAGACAUGUGCCAGCUGUACAAAUAACGGACAGAGGCACAAAGACUAUUUGGGAGAGAGAAUUUGAAGCCCCGCGGAAGCUCCCCGCUUGCCACCACCGGCCAGUGUCGCCACCGUCGUCCAUUUCCUUUAGCAGCAUGAUAGAACGGUGGGGUUUUGCGGUCUCUUCUGCCACCAUCUUGCUUAUUUAAAUUAUGUCAAAACUACACAAAACAGCGAUAGGCCCCAAGUUCCCCGAUUUCUCCUUUGCAAAAACCCCUCUGAAACCGCACAUAGCCCCUCCGCCACCACCAGCAGCGGCGAAGGUGGACGUUACCUCCAUAACCAACCUCGUUCUCAAGACAAACCCAGAAAUUUUGACUCAAAAUUGGCCCACCCUUGUGCAAUGGGCCCCUGAGCUUGUCCACACGAUUCUCAAACGCCUGUGGAACCAUGGCCCGAAAGCUCUCCAGUUCUUCAAAGCCCUCGACUCCCAUCUCUCUUACACCCACUCCGCCACCAAAUUCGACGACGCAAUCGACAUUGCUGCCAGAAUGCGGGAUUGCAAGACCCUAUGGGCCCUUGUGGCUCAAAUACGGGCUAUAAAGCUCGGUCCUGGCCCGAAAACCUUCGCCAUCAUCCUCGAAAGGUAUGUGGCUUCUGGAAAAGCUGAUAAGGCGGUUGACCUUUCCUUGUCAAUGCAUAAACAUGGUUGUCCUUAGGAUUUGACUUCAUUCAAUUCUUUUCUUGAUGUGCUCUGUAAGGCGAAGCAGGCUGAAAUAGCCUAUAAUCUGUUUAAGGUGUUUAGGAGGAAGUUUAGAGUUGAUAUGAUUAGUUAUAACAUUCUCGCUAAUGGGUAUUGUAUAAUGAAGCGAACGCCAAAGGCAUUGGAAAAUUUGAAGGAAAUGGUGGAGAGAGGAUUGGAGCCAAAUGUGAUGACUUAUAAUAUAAUUCUUAAAGGUUUCUUUAGAGCAGGGCAAACGAAGGAAGCUUGGGAGUUUUUCUUGCAAAUGAAGAGGAGAAAAUGUGAGAUUGAUGUGGUGACUUAUACUACUAUGGUUCACGGUUUUGGUGUUGCAGGUGAGGUUGAGAGGUCCCGUAAGCUGUUUGAUGAGAUGGUUGGAGCUGGAGUGCUUCCCUCAGUAGCAACUUACAAUGCUCUUAUUCAAGUUUUAUGUAAGAAAGACAAUGUGGAAAAUGCAAUUUUGGUGUUUGAUGAGAUGUUGCGGAGGGGCUAUUUACCUAAUGUCACUACUUAUAAUGUGUUCAUUAGAGGUUUGUUUCGUGUCGGUAAAAUGGACAGGGCAGUUGAGUAUAUGGACAAGAUGAAAGAAGAUGAGUGUGAGCCUAAUGUUCAGACAUACAAUCUUGUAAUUCGAUAUUAUUGUGAUGAUGGAGAAUUUGAGAAGGCCUUCGAAUUGUUUGAGAAAAUGGGUAGUGGGCAUUGCUUACCUAACUUAGAUACUUAUAACAUCUUGAUCAGUGCAAUGUUUGUCAGAAAGAAAUCCGAUGAUUUGGUGAUAGCAGGAAAGUUGUUGAUAGAAAUGAUUGACAGAGGAUUUCUGCCUUGAAGGUUUACUUUCAACCGCAUUCUGAAUGGGCUUUUGCUUACAGGUAAUCAAGAAUUUGCUAGAGAGAUUUUGCGACUGCAAAGCGGAUCUGGCCGGCUUCCUUAUCAUUUCAGACUAUGAUUGUGUUGCAUUACCUCAGGCAAAGUAUGUUUGCUUUAAAGAUUGCAAUGGUCCAACCUUUUCCAUUGGCAUGCAAGUUUGUCUUCUGCAUUUUCUUCAGUCGAUAUACCUGAGGUUUAGGAUUUGAUGAAACUUCAACUUAAUUUUUGAACUGAAAACUAAUUAUUGUGUUCUAUGACAGUAGCAGUGCCAGAUAAAAGACAAUUUGUUACAUUCAUGUCUUGGAGCGAGAUAUUUAGACUGAACUUUGGAACUAUCACUGAUCAAAUUGCUGAAAAUGCGAACUUUUGCUUCUUUGUUUGGGUCAAUUCAUUGUGGCAAACUGUAUUUAUAAAUAGGAUUGUUUUCCAGUUCUGGGCGCGCUGGACAUAUUGUUUUGAAGCUUAUAUUCUUGGAAAUAGAUGGUUUUAUACUUGAUAGCACCUUUUUUUUGGGUUGCAUUGGUUUGCAUUUGGAGAAUUUCUUUCACUUGACUGUUGCCACAAUCACCUUUGUGUCAAUAUAUCAUAUCUGUAGAAACAAAAUUUUCCUUUAUGACUAUUUGCUUACUAGGCUUCUUUCUCAAGAUUGGAUUAAAAAAGGUCUAUAAUUGUAACAUUUUACAUGAAUUGUUAACAUAUUUCCUGUGAGCCUGUUAAAGGUUGGGACCUUGAGAAAUGAGUCUAUCAGUGGGACAUCCUGUUUGUGCUUAUGUUUCUGUCUUAUCUAAUUCAGCUUAAUUCAAGAAAUAGAAACUUGUUUCUCCAUACUACUAGUUAUCUAAUUCAGCUUUUCUUCUUGAGACUGAGAAUAGGAGAGGAAGUAUUCAGUAAAUGAUGGAAUUGUGCCAGCGAAAGGAAGGGCAAGGUGGAACUUUUGCAAACCUUUUGAUGAUUGUUUCUGCUUUAGGUACUUCUGUGCUUUCCUUUAUAUUCUUUAACGUGGGUACUCUCUUCUGCAUUUGGAGUCCAUUUGCUUUGUAUUUUUUGGAGUGGGAAGUACCUAAUGAAGGAUUGGCCUUACAGUUCUGGAGCAAGGGAGGAACAUACCUAUUGCUGAUUGCAUUAACUUAAGAACAUGCAUGCUUUUGUUUUACUCUAUCACAAUUGCUAGUAAGUCAAAAUUGCGAAGAAAAUAGGCAAUCAAUUUGUAAGAUUCUCAUUCUUUGCUUUUGUACCAUCCAGUCAAUAAAGAACUUAAAGAAAGAAGAAGAUAUAGAUCAUGUUAAUAUCCUCUUGGAGAUAAUGAUCCAGUGAAGGAUGGAGUUACAGACGGUAAAAUGCCAAGUUUAUACACAGGCUGCAGAAAACUAAUGGUCUAAAGCCUACAGGAAGUGCUUGAUCAUAGACCACAGUGGUGUACCUAGGCAUUUUGCUACAUUUUCAAUGUUAGCAAUAUUCUUAUAGAAGUAGUUAAUACAGGGGUUAUUCCAUCUUAUUACUGUCUCAGUUAAGAAAUCAACAGUUGCUUUAUCAUCCAUAUCAGAAGUUGUACAUGGUAUUGUAUAUGUCGUUUAUUCUAUCUAUGAAGUACUUGAGUUGGAGUUUGUCACUGGACUAAGUUGUGAAAUUCUUGGUACAUGUCAACUUUUAGCUGAGGAGUUGAAGAUGGAAGUGAAAAUAUGGCUUUCCAGAUUGCCACCAUAUUGCUCAGCUUUGCUUAGGUAGGUGAAAACCUGGAAGGUACUGUUGUCGCGUCCCAUAUUUUGAAUAAAUAAAUAAAUAGGUUUAAAAAUGUAUUUUUUGAUUCAAUUUGUGAUUGAAAAAUGAAUUGUGAUUUAAAAAGAAAAAUGGGUCUAAAUAGGGUUUGAGAAUGCGACGAUUUGACCCAAAAUUAUAGUUUAAAAAGGGUUUUUGAAAUAAAAAAUCGGAGUCGCCACUUGGUAAUGAGUUAAGGUGUACCAAGUCACCUAAAAAUGAAUUUUUAAAGAAAAAUAGGAAAAAGUAGUAAGAAACCCCUUUUAAACGACUCCUAGUCCACGUAAACCAACGAAAAAGGUUCGGGAGUCACAUUUGACGAAGGGGAAGGCAAGGAUAAAAAUCCAAGGCACCCCUUCGACCUAGCCAAGGCUAGUUGCGUGAUUUAAUCAAAGAUUUUCUUGUUUUAACCAAAGAAUUUAUUACAUUUGGAUGUACUACAUGAAUGCAAACCCUAGACCUAGAGGGAUUGGGGGAAAUUUCUCUUCAAAGGUUGAGUGGUGCCAAUCAUAUUAAUUGUGAAGCCCAAUAAUGAUCCUUUGGAGAGGUCACACAUAAUCCUAAAUGACGUACGAAUGAGUGGAAUGCAUGUCAUGUGAAAAUGUGAGUUUGUGUGAAGUGAGAAAAAUAAUAAAAAUAAUAGGAUUAAGUGGAGGUGUGCAAAUGUAUUUACAAGGUAAGGUGAGUAAAGAAUGAUGAUGUAAAAAUAACGUAAAGUGCAUGUGUGCUAGUGAUAUGGUAUAAAGUGUGAAAAGUUAAGUGAAAACGUCCAAAAGUAGUGUGAAGUGAGAAUGUGGAAAAAGGGAUAGAAUAUAAAGUAGAAGUGUAUAGGAUAGUGAAUAAAUGAAAUGCAUGAACCCUAAAGGAAUGCAAUCAAAACGGGAACGGGGAGUCCUAACUUUGUGACUUUAAUUUUCCCUUUGAUUAGAAAGGAGAACUAGCGUGCUAAGGCUAUUUUGUAGCCAAACUCGCUCGUUUCCCUUAUCGAAAGGGGACUCUCAAGCAAAUGUAUCCUAUAACUAGCAUGAGGUGCAAAAAUCCUAAAAUGAGGGGAAAGGGGUUCGAGGAGCAUGCCAAAUGAUAAAACUAAGAAAAAUGCAUGAAAUGAAGUGAAACAUGCAAGUAUGGACUCAACGAGAGAAAUCCCUAAGGGUCUAGCGUUGGACUAGCCCAUUCUAUGAAUUCCUACUAGCGUUGGACUAGUGGAAACGUACAUUCAUCUAUCACAUUCAUUCAUGACUAUGGAAAGCGAGUAGACAUGUCAAUCACCUAUAAACACAUAGCACAUAACACUUAACAUGCUCGACUAAAUGCAAGAACCUAAUUAAAGCAAAUAACACAUAACAUAUAGCAAGCAACCAAACUAAUGGAACUACUACAUUUGCUAGCUAGGCACACGUCUUCAAUAGGUCUUCAUCGAAUGCUCCUCCAAGCCCUAUCUAUUACAAGCCAAGAGGUGUACACAUACCCCAUUAAAGAAUAACUUAAUGAAAAUGAAAGUAAAUGACAUAAAUGAAAGGAAUUAAGGAAAGGCUAGGAAAGCAAAGUAGACAUGCAAUUCUCACUUAGCACGUUGGAUCACAUAGGAGAGACACAAAGAGGGAUAAAAGAAAUUAUACCGCCCCCUUGAAUUGAUGCCCUAAAUGGAGUGAAAUCACUUAUUUAUCCUCCAAAAUAAAAGAAAUGGUCAAGGUACCAAUUUAUUUGGGGAAAAUUAAAGAAAAUUGGCAAACACAAGCUCACUUGGUCAUAAAGCCCUUAAAGUCAUGAAUUAAGUGCAAUUGAAACAAAGCAUGGUAUUCAAUUGAAACAAACAAGCAAUGAAGUUGUGAAAUUAAAAGCUAUCAAGGACCAAAUUGAGGAAAUCAUUCAAUUGAUUGGGCCAUAGUAGGACAAGGGGAGACUUGGGGGGCCAAAGUGUAAUUUUUUGAAAGCUUUCAUGCAUGCAUACGUAAAAGCUUAAACUUCUGCAAGUUUAUUUAGACAAGGCUUCUGCAAUCAGCACUUCGCCAAAAACAGCUUUCAAACACAAUUAAAUCCAAGCAAACAAUCACACAAUCCUCUCACUUUGCAUCAUGAAAACUUGUAGAUUUAGGCACCAAAAGUCGGACAGCAGACAUGCAAAUUUGAACAACUCAAACAAGUUCAUGCAAAAACUUACAAAACAUUUCUGCAACAAGAGGAGAUUUUCGACAGCCAACCCAAGCUUUGGAAACUUGAGCAACCUUAUGCGGCAAACAAAAAACUUAACAAAGAAAAGGGUCCAACCUCCUAGCACCCACUAAAAUGUCGUAAACUCAAUCUCAAAAUGCCAUUUCAUGUAUACAAAGGAAGGAAAGAAAUCUGGAAUUAGAAGCAAACUGCCGACCUUAGCUUCAUUCAAGAAACAAAACAAAACUCUCCCACUAUUCAGGAUUUUUAGGGAGAUCUAUCUUACUUGGCCAACAUUCAAGCUAGUUUAUGUUUCCUUGGAUUCAAAGACUGCAGACUCAACACCAAAACAUUUCAUUUUCUUCCUUCAACAUAAGAUUAAACAGCACUUUAUGUACAAAACUCGGUGAGCAGAGAGGAAACAACAAGAAAAGUGCAGCAGCUUUUAUUUUUAAAAUUUCAGCAUAGAUAUAUUCGUGUGUGAGAACUCAAACAAACUCUACACAUUUGACAGCCCAAACUGAAUGUAAUUCGCACAAGACAACAAGCCACCACCUGAUCUACUUGCUUUACAAUGCAACAAAAGGCACGGAACAACAUUAUCGCAGCAAGUGGACAGCAACAAAGAAAGAAUAGGCAGCGAGCUCUUUAUACCUUAGGAAGCUGGAAAUUGACAUGAUUAAUCAAACUUCAAUCAAAUGCUGAAGUUUAAUGCAAACAAAUACUAGCUAAAGGAGCUAGGCAGAAUGUAGACAUGCAACUGAUGAAGCGUCUGCAAUUUCUGGUGCCUCUAAAUUUUAGCAAACUCAUGCAACAAAUACCAAGACCCCAAACCAGAAGAACCUUAUCCGUAUGUUGGACUUUGGAACAAAGGGGAGAGGGAAAAAUAAAAUGACACCAUAUAAACAUUUCUAAAACUUCAACCCAAAUCUCCAAGAAUACAAACCCCAAAUCCUAGAAUGAACGCAGAAUGCAUGAUUCAUGCUCUCCCAAUUUCAUGGCCAAAGGCUUUUGACUGUACGCUCCUCAAGAAGCUCUUCAAAACACAGACCUACCCAAGAAAUGAUUCAAUGCAGUUCCCCAUUUGCCCCAAGGCCAGCAAUGAGAGAAAGUGACGUGAAGAAGAGAGGAGGCAUCCAACAAACGCUCUCGGACUCACAAUGCAAAAAUGUAGCGUGAACUGGUUACUCAAGCAUGCAGAAUCGAAAACCAGAAAUUCUAACCCAUUUCCAAACCAAGAAAACCAUGAUAUCUAAGCCUUUCAUUGCUAAAACCCAUCACCAACAUUGCAAAACCGUAAAAGAAACGGCAACCAGGGAAACAUUAAGGAACCAGACCCAACGAAAACUAUAAAGCUGAAAGCUUAUUGCAAUUUUUUGGUUUUUGUUCAUUCAAACGCAUAAAGAUCGUUCAUAAACAUUAGACGGACAGCUUCAUGAAACUCAUCAUACAAUCCUACAUAGAAAACUCUAACGGCUGUCCCUAAAAUCCAGCCAAUACUCAUGGAUUCAUCCAUCCCAACCAGAUUUCGCAGACAGGGUUCAUAAAGGGAAACGACACAAGCGUAAAGACAAAAACUUUUAGCAUUCUAUCAUAGUCAACAGUUUAUAAAUGGCUCCAGAGUAGAAAAAACAUCACCUUUAGCUUUUGAUCAAAGCUUGAUUCAGAAGAUGAAAUCUUUGCUCAGUAGAAUCGUCCUUUCCUGGUUUUUGCCAUUUUCCUUCUGUCCGGCAGCCGCUUAUCCUUGUUUUCUCCCUUCGGUUUCAGCCAAAUACCCCCUUCGAAACCUUCCUCCUUUGCUGGUGUUGCUUCGUUCCUCCGUCGUCACUUUCCGCUUCCUUUUCCCUUUUCGCCUUGCUUCACUUAGCUAUCCCGCCGCCCCUUUCUCCUCUCAACCCUCUUUUUAGCCGUCACGUCUCUCCUCAUUCCCAACCCUAUCUCUCUCGGCUUCCUCCCCUUUUUUCUUUUUCUCCCUUCUCCCAAAACUCUCUCCCUUGCGGCUUCUGAUUUUUCUUUUAGUUUGCAGCCGCCCACUCUCCCCUCCUUUGCAGCUGCCUUCUCCUUUUCUAUUUAUAUGGGAAUCCCUAGCCCUAAACAACUCAGCAACUUCCUCUGUAUUUGCAGCUAAGGGCUGCCUGGUCCUCUGUUUGCAAUCUGCGGCAAUACGUAGCUUGCAUGCCGCAUUUCUAUUUUUUUUUUUAGAUUAAUUAAAACAAUAUUGAUAAUAAUAAAAAUAAAUAACAAAAUAAUUUAAUUAACCUUGGAUAAAACAAAUAAACUAGAAACAACAAAGUAUAAAAUCCAAUUCUUUUUCAUUUUCCAUUUUUUUUAUGAUUUUUCUUUUUUUCCUCUUUUUCCAUGAUUUUUCCUUUUUUUCAUGAUUUUUCCUUUUUUUCUUUUUUUCAUGAUUUUCUACGCUAAAACUUAAAAAGCAAAAACUAAAAAAACUAAAAAGUGAAUAAAACUAAAAUAAAAUAAAAUAACACCUAAAAGGCAAAACAAACAAUAAUGAACAAAUGCAAACCAUCUAAAACAAAAUCAUGAAAUUAACAAAAAUCAAUAGACAAUAAUUAUCACUAAAACGAAGCAUAUUGAUGAGAACAUGAAGAUUUGCAUGGAUUCCUUUCAUUUUACAAGUCUUCACAUUCUAAUGAUAGUUGAUGGUGCAAUCGGGCUCGAGAAUCAUUGAAGAUCCAAAUUUUCCAAAUUUUAAUUGGCUUCCAAAUCUUGAUUGGUAUCUUGAUUGAUAUCUUGAUUGAUUUCCAAAUUGAGAGUUAAGUAAGUUAUUUGAAUUAGGGAAUAAAGGCUAAGGUCAUGUUGACCAUAGUUAAGCCAAUUUGAAUUAGUUAGUUUCCUAUUCUAGUUGAAUUAGAGUUUUAGGAAAGCAGUUAAUUGCUUCCAAAUUUGUUUAGGAAGUUGUGUCAAGUUUAGAAGUCAAGUCAAAUAAGGAAACUUGUAUUGUUUCCAAUUUAGAUUAGGGUUUUGAGUCUUGCAAGGCUAUAAAUAGCCAACUUUAUUUAACAAUUAAAAAAGACAAUUAUGAGAUGAAUAAAAAUUGAGAGUUUUCUCUUUCUUGUUCCUUUGGGAGCGUUCCUUGAUACAAAGUGAGUUGUAUCUCCUUUGUUCAAGUUUCGGCUUAUCAAUUCAAGACCAUGUUGAAUUGUGGCGCCUUCUACACUUGCUUGAGGUUCACUAAUUCGUUUGGUUACGGGUUGAGAUAAUAUCAACAAGUUCGUAGUCACGGGGAUUAGAGGGGUCGUAAGGUCUUUCCAUCUUUGUAUCCAUAACCUGGUCAAGAUAGAUCCUUCCGCUGCCUGAUCGAUUCGGUUCUUCAAGACAGGUUCUUGUUGGGUCGAGUUCGUAUCACAUAUAAAUUAUUUCAAAAUUUGGUGUCUACAGUUUGCCCCUCUUUGUCUGAGUUUUGGAAAAACUUGAGACAAAGAAGUAGACACCAAAUACUUACCUGCGUUAUUCGUCUGCGAAUUACUCAAACGAUGGGGACUGACCCCUGACAGGAAAUUUUAAAAUCGGGACUGACCCGAGACAGAAAUUUAAACGGGACUGACCCGAAUAGGAAUUUAAACGGAACUGACCCGAACAGAACGAAAAUCAAGGGACGCACGCUAGUGGGACUGACCCACGGCUAGCGGCGGGGAAAAUAAAAUGCACACUAGUGGGACUGACCCACGGCUAGCGGCAAAGCAAAAUGAAAUGCGCACUAGUGGGACUGACCCACGGCUAGCGGCAAAGCAAAAUGAAAUGCGCACUAGUGGGACUGACCCACGGCUAGCGGCUGAACAAAAUGAAAUGCGCACUAGUGGGACUGACCCACGGCUAGUGGCUAAACAAGCGAAAUGCGCACUAGUGGGACUGACCCACGGCUAGUGGCUAAACAAAAUGAAAUGCGCGCACUAAUGGGACUGACCCACGGCUAGUGGCUGAACAAAAUGAAAUGCGCACUAGUGGGACUGACCCACGGCUAGUGGCUAAACAAGCGAAAUGCGCACUAGUGGGACUGACCCACGGCUAGUGGCUGAACAAAAUGAAAUGCGCACUAGUGGGACUGACCCACGUCUAGUGGCUGAACAAGCGAAAUGCGCACUAGUGGGACUGACCCACGUCUAGUGGCUGAAGUGGGACUGACCCACGGCUAGUGGCUGAACAAAAUGAAAUGCGCAUUAGUGGGACUGACCCACGGCUAGUGGCUGAACAAAAUGAAAUGGGAAAUUCCAGUAUACUUACCUCCAAAUAGCCCAGAAUUUUGUCCCAGUGGAGGUUAAGUUUCUGCCUCUGAGCUAAUAGUUGAUUCGGCAUUGCCGUGUUGUUGCACCUUUUGAUCAAACUCGCUUGCAAUAUCUUUCGAUUCGCCUUCGUUCACUGGAGAAUUCUUUCCAACACUUGCCCCAGUAUGACGUGUAAUUGCUUUCACUUAUACACACAAUUUUCUGCAACAGAGAAAGAACAAAGAAAUUGCCACCAUCAUUUGAUCCGUUUCCCUCUGAGAAUCGUGUAAACAUGAGUCUUUCGAUGUCUUUGCCAACUUUUGCUGCAGCAGCCAAUUGAGUCGGAUUUCUCACCCUGAGGCUUUUCCGAUUUUCAAACUGACCAGGUAUGUGCUUUGCCAAAUUGUGAAGUCUGCGUAAUGCCUUUGCUGAACUUCAACCAUUUCCAAAAGAUGAUUGAAUCCGAGUAUGCUUCGAGUAAAUCAUGGGGGUUGUUAUUCACCAAAAUUCAAUGACUAAAACGAUGUUUGCAGGAAAAAAAUUCACUAGUCAUGCAGGAAUGAAUAUGACAAAACUAUAACCAUCUGUGCCUAAAUACUACAAAAAUGCCAUGAAUGCAAGCAAUUUGAAAAAAUGAACUUCCUAAGAAUGUAUUUGCAAAAGAAUAUCUUUACAAAAUGACACAGCUUUUGGCCAACAGAUGUCAUAUUCAAAACUCUGGAUAUCUUUGUUCUGGAAUUCAAUAUUGGCAGAAGUAUGACAAAAAUGAGGAGAAAUCCAAAUGAACCAAGUCGCCAGCUGUUCCUCCUCGUGAUCGUUCGAUGUAGAAAUCCUACCUUGGCGCCCUUUCGGGUUUUCACCAAGGUUGCCCCCACUCCUUUUCUUUUUGUUUUGUUUUUGUUUUUGUUUUUCUCUUUUUCUUUUCUUUUUCUCCUUUUCUUUUGAGGUGCCCUUUCGGGUUUUCACCUAAGGAACAAUGGAAAAACUCAACCAUAAUCGACUCAGGAGUAUGAACUGAAAAUUGCUGACAUCAGUAAAAUGCGCUUCCCUUGUAAGAUUAGGCGAAGGCAUUAUGGACAUCAUUUGCCAGUUGAUUAGCAAAAUCCCUAAUAGAAAUGCAGCAAGUGACGAAAGCCAGGACUUUUGGGCUUUUGUAAUGAGGUCAGGUGGGGUGUUUUUCAAGAAAAGUUGAGGCUUGAAAGCAAAUUUUGAUGAGAGGUGUGAAAUAACCUGAGAUUGCAUCAUUUUGAGAUCAUCUCCGAUUUUGAACAAAACUGAGGAAAAAUUUGCCCCAGUUCGAUUGAAUUCUUCUCUUUGUGCUUUUCAUUGCAUUUUUCACUUUUGCAUUUUUCUUCAAAAACUAAAUUUGCCCCAGUGUGGGGUUCUCUUUUUCUUUUCAUCUCUCUUUCAAAAAUAAAUUUGCCCCAGUGUGGGGUUUGCCUUUUCUUUCUGAUCAUCUCUUUUUCACAAUGAAUUUGCCCCAGUGUAGGGUUUGCAAUCCUCAGGGGCUGCCAAACGAAAAUUAUUGUUCUGAUAGCUCAAAGGGGAUGACUAGGGAUGAAAUGUUUUGAUUGGAAAAGAAGAUGGUCUGACUCUUGCCUCGUCUCUUGCAUAAUUUCCUAGAAGGAAUUUACAUAAUCAAAUAAAGAAUUUCUUGCACAUGUCUGAGUUGAUAGGUUGAGGGAAAGUCGGUCCGUUCAUCUCUGUUAAAAACAAGUACUCCGCCCGAUAACCCCUUUUGAACGACAAAUGACCCGGCCAGUUUAGAAUCAAAUUCACCUUUGACCUCAUCUUGCAAUGGCAACUUCGCUUUAGAACUUUGUCCCUUUUUCAAAGAGUCGCCGGUGGACCUUUUUGUUAUGAACACAGGCCAUGCGUUUUGACAACAUUGGUCAUGGCACAUAGCAUUCAACUGCUUUUCAUCAAUCAGAAUCAAUUGUUAAUGACACUGCUUUAACCAAUCAACUUUCAACCUGGCUGGAAAGGGAUUUUCUCAAAUGAAGGGAUUUAUCAAUGAAGAAAUUUCUCAAAUGAAGGGAUUUUUCCAUGGUUUUUCUCAAUAAAGGCUUUCUCAAAGAAGGGAUUUUUCCAUGGUUUUUCUCAAUGAAAGCUUUCUCAAAGAAGGGAUUUUUCAAUGAAGGGAUUUCUCAAUGAAGGCUUUUUCAAAGAAGGGAUUUUUCAAUGAAGGGACUUUUCAAUGUAUGGCUUCAUCGGAUUCCAGAACAGUGAUAUUCAAAGGGUCAAAUAAUUUUAUUUUUGGCCAUCGAAAGAAUUUAGAAUGAAAUUGAAAAUGGUAAUCAAUCAAUAUAAAGAAAAUGGUAUCGAACAAACAAAAUGAUGAAAAGAUGCAAUUAUGCAUGCUAUUGAAACACAGGAGCUUGAUUAAAACUGUUUUAGUCAAAACUUGAAUUUGACAAAGCUAUUUACACAACAACAGUGAAAACUUUCAUGAAUUCUUAGCAAAUCACAAUCCCCAGAUUUACCAAAAUUCCCUUCAAGAGGGAAAACACUCGGCCAUCCAAAUUGUGCAAAGCUCCUUCAAGAAUUUCAAAUUUCGUCUUUGGAGGUAGAUGCCUCAAAGGCGCCUUUGUGUUCGGGAAAGGGAUUCGUACUUAUGCUCGGCCCUUGUUCUGCAUUCCUUCUAAUCACUAUUUCCCCCGCUUCGAUCAUUUCUUGAACUUUCUGUUGAAGUGCUCUACAACCAGUAGUUGGGUGGCCAGGUGCUCCCGAAUGAUAAGCACAAGUAUAUUGUAGAUUGUAUCCGGAACGGACGCCAUGAGGAUAAGUUGGAGGGGGAAUUUGCCGAUUUUACCGGCGGCUUUUAAUUGUUCAUAUAAUUGGUCCAAAGGCCUGCCAAGAUUGGUGAAUGUUUGAGAACGAUUUUGAUCGUGGGUUUCAAUAUGUUGGGGGUAGUUAUAGAUGGGUCUGUUUGGUCGGGAAAAUUGUUGAUUGUAGAGAGGUUGAGGUCGAACUUGUUGGAAGUUGGGUUUAGAUAUUUGGAAAGGGACUAUGGGCGGAUUGGUGUAAUUAGGGCGAGGUCGAGAAUGAGUGGUAUUGGUGUGAUAAACAGGAUGAGAGUUUGAAUAGUAAGGGUAAGGGUUUGAGUAUGUAGGGUAUUGUCGAGGUCUGGGUUUUGGAACAAGGUUUCGAUCCCAGGCAACAGCGAUUUCCCCCUCUUUCUUUUGGAGUUGUUGCUUCUUUCCACUAUUACUUUGGCCUUGCAAAGCAUCCAACUGUGACUUGAGGGCAGAGAUAUUAACAAUCUUUCCAGCCUUCACGAAAUCAUCAAAUUCUUCAAGCUUAUUGACAAUAGCGGCAAACGAGCAUCCAGUCAUGCGGAAAAUUUCUUCAAAGUACGGCGGAUCAUGUGCUUUAAUGAAAGUGCGUAUGAUUUCGUCCUCGGUCAUUGGUGGCUCGACUUUUGCAGCUAUUUUUCUCCACCUUUUGGCAUAAGUCUUGUGAUCCUCAGAGGGUUUUCUUUUUGUUCCUUCCAGCGUGGUUCGUGUCGGAGCCAGCUCGCAGUUAUACUCGUAUUGCCUUACAAAAGCAUUUGACAAGUCAAUCCAGGUCUUUACUUCUUCGGGCUUCAAAUUUGAGUACCAGUCGAGGGCAUCCCCCUCCAGACUUUCGGGGAAUAACCUUAAAUGCAGAUUUUCAUCAUCUGUUGGCCUACCCAACUUGUUGGCGAAUAAUCGGAGGUGUGUCUUGGGAUUGCCUGUCCCAUCGUAUUUGUUAAACUUCGGAGUUUUGAACCCCUCAGGCAAUUGUACAUUUGGGAAGAGACAAAGCUCAUCAUAGUCCAGCACUCCUUGUUUGUUCAAACCCUGACUCCUCCUCAUAAACUCAUCAAAACGGUCAAGGCGUUUGAGCAGCUUUAUAUCAACGGGAGCGGAAGAUUCCCCCAUUUCUGGCUUGGUUUGAACAAUAUGGUCGGGUAGGAAUGGCUCAGCAGCAGUGUGAUAAAAAGUACGUAGCUCUGGUGGUAUGUUUGAAGUAGCUUGAGAUUGUGGGCCUUGUAUGUGAGUAGGAAAAAAUGAAGGAUUAGGAGGGUAAGUGUAUGGAUAAGUGAAAGUUCCUUCGGGUGGAAUAAGGAAAGGUGACGUAACGGUGGUUUGAGUCAGAGGGAUGACAAAUGGCUCAGGCUCAGGCUGCCUGUCAGGUACAGGUUCAGGUUGAACUCCGCUGCUAAUUAGCUCAUCAAUCAACUUCCUUUGGGUUGCCAUCUCGGUAGCCAUCUCACCGAACUUAGUAAGCAUUUCAGUCAACUGAACCCCCAAACUCGCCGUCUCGGGUUGAGCGGUAGUAGCAGACCGAUCUGAUUGUUCAGGUUCUGAACUCAUGUUUACACGACUCCUCUGAGCUUGACUACGGGAUCGUGUUAUGAUGGGGUUUCGACGAGAAGCUAUGUUUAAAUAUUACCUGAGAAUUUUUGAAAAGAUUGCCUUUAGAUUUAACCCUUGCUUAGUUAUUCCAAUAAAAAUAAAGAAAAAGAAAAGAAAAAGGCAAGAGUUAGUAAAUAUCCAGAAAAUUCGAAUGCAUGUCCUAUGGGGGAACCCUUUUUGUGCCAAGGGUAGGCCUAGCAUGAAAAUGCAAUCCUCUGAGAUAGGCACUAUACCAUACCUGAUGGAUCUGAUCAACUCAUUGAGUGAAAAAUAAUUUUGAAAAUUUGGCCAAUUGGAGUGACGAGAGACACUUGCAAAAACGCACGGGUUUGACCUUGACGAACUUCCUAUCGAAGAGACAGGAAUUCGUUUGACAAAAUUUCCUCAGUAAAGUGCGGGUCAAAACCCCAACUGAUCAAAUGGCUGGAUGCAAUGAUUGGUUUUCUCAAAAUCGACUAGAUUUCUCCAUUUGAAAUUGACAUUGAAACCCUAAUUGGUCAAACGGGUUGAAUGAAAUUGACCAUUUAUUUAAAAUUGAUCGAAUUACCCUAAAAAGGGAAACGGGUCAAAUGAAUUGAGUGAAAUUUAAUAAUUUACUCAAAAUUGACCGAAUCAUCCUAAAAAAGGACCUUGGUCAAAUGAAUUGAAUGGAAUCAAGAAUUUUAUUCAAAAUUGACCGGAUCACCCUAAAAGGGUAAACUGGUCAAAUGAAACGGAUGGAAUUGAUGAUUUAUCAAAAAUCGACAAAAUUGCCUUAACUAAUCAAAUGAAUUGAAUGAAAUUGGUGAUUUAUUCAAAAAUCGACUAGAUUGCCCUAAAAAUGAACAAAUUGAUAAAAUGGAUUAGAUGAAAUUGAAAAAUCAAAUGAUCCAAUGGACUGAAUGGCUUGAUGCAUUAGUCUAUGAACCUUCUAAAAUCAAAUUUUGGCCUCAGUUUAUUUAUCGUCUCAUCAGUGAGGAAAAACUGGUGAAUGUUCCAAUUAAUGUCCUUUUUGCAAGGGAUUUUUACCAACUUUGAUAAAAUGGCCAAAAAGUGAUUGUUACAUGCUCAUAUUUCAAAGAUUGCUUUAUGAAAAUGAUCGGAUCCUACCUUACCUUGUGCACUACCCCUUUGGAUGGUACAAAAUGUAAACGUGCAAGUCUCUUUGGAUUAAGUAUCCGAGACACAAGGUGGUUUAUUCCUGACACGGGAUCCCCUAAAUGGCAUUCCCUUUCUAGGGUUUAUGCAUGAUGCCAUUUUAUUAAAGCAGUAAAAAUGCAAUUCGAAAUGAAACGUGGCCUAAGGAACCCUUUAUUUGCCAGGGUAAGCCUAAAAUGACAUGGCAUUAUUAAUUUAUGAAUGAAAUAUACCGAAAUUUCUAAACGUGCAAUAACCUAUCUAUAAGGGUAGGUCCUAAAAGAGGAUCAUGCCAGACCUCUUAUUUCCUAACGUUUGUGAAUGCAAAAGAUAAGAAACAAGGAAACGUUAGUUCAACACAUAAUCACAUAACACGUUGGACAAUUAGAUAAAAGCAACAAAGAAUAAAAGAAAGGGGGUGGGAUCCCUCCCCUCGUGAAUGGUGUCCCUAAUAGGGUAAGGCCGACUCUACCCUAGGCAAUUCUAAUAUGGAUGCAUGAGGUUGGGGUUCGCUAAUGCAUCUAGACUCGAUAAGCUCAGGUCCCCGAGCCUUCAGACUUAGAAACCAAGGGUCAUCAAUCCCAAGGUUCUUUGUCGGUGGCUCGAGCGAUUCCCCAAACACCGCUACGCACACAUCGUGUCACGGCUACGUGUUUGAGUGAAUCUAUCAAAAUCCUCAACCUUCGACUAAAAGCUAAAGGCUAUCAACCCAUAGCUUAAAGCGGAAGAUUGAGUGACCCAUUGGAUCAUGCUACACACACAUCGUGUCGUGAUCACAUGUCCAAGUGGGUCGCCUAAUCCUAGUAGGGUGGAGUGGCGUGACAAGCCACUAAAAGAAAAAUAAAUGAAGGGAUAAAAAAUAAAGCGUAUGCACGUAUGCUAGUGCUCGUUUGGAGGGGAGGGAUCGAGAACCAACGCGAGGCUCUAAGGUGAUGUCCCCCACCCAAAUGCAAUGCAAGCGCGAGAUAAACAAGUAAACAUACAUCCAAUCAACCAAUCAUACAUUCGUGAGCGAGGGAGUAGUUUGAGAUGUGUGAAAUGCAAAAUCCUAAAAAAGGAAAAAUGCAACCCUAAAACACCCAAAUGUGAUAUAUGAAAAGGUUAAAAGAAGAAAAAGGUUGAUUAAAUCAAAUUUGCUCGGACUCUCGAAUGUCCCCAGUGGAGUCGCCAACUGUCGCGCCCCAUUUUUUGAAUAAAUAAAUAAAUGGUUUAAAAAAUGUAUUUUUUGAUUCAAUUUGUGAUUGAAAAUGAAUUGUGAUUUAAAAGAAAAAUGGGUCUAAAUGGGGGUUUGAGAAUGCGACGAUUUGACCCAAAAUUAUAGUUUAAAAAGGGUUUUUGAAAUAAAAAAUCGGAGUCGCCACUUGGUAAUGAGUUAAGGUGUACCAAGUCACCUAAAAAUGAAUUUUUAAAGAAAAAAUAGGAAAAAGUAGUAAGAAACCCCUUUUAAACGACUCCUAGUCCACGUAAACCAACGAAAAAGGUUCGAGAGUCACAUUUGACGAAGGGGAAGGCAAGGAUAAAAAUCCAAGGCACCCUUUCGACCUAGCCAAGGCUAGUUGCGUGAUUUAAUCAAAGAUUUUCUUGUUUUAACCAAAGAAUUUAUUACAUUUGGAUGUACUACAUGAAUGCAAACCCUAGACCUAGGGGGAUUGGGGGAAAUUUCUCUUCAAAGGUUGAGUGGUGCCAAUCACAUUAAUUGUGAAGCCCAAUAAUGAUCCUUUGGAGAGGUCACACAUAAUCCUAAAUGACGUAUGAAUGAGUGGAAUGCAUGUCAUGUGAAAAUGUGAGUUUGUGUGAAGUGAGAAAAAUAAUAAAAAUAAUAGGAUUAAGUGGAGGUGUGCAAAUGUAUUUACAAGAUAAGGUGAGUAAAGAAUGAUAAUGUGAAAAUAACGUAAAGUGCAUGUGUGCUAGUGAUAUGGUAUAAAGUGUGAAAGUUAAGUGAAAACGUCCAAAAGUAGUGUGAAGUGAGAAUGUGGAAAAAGGGAUAGAAUAUAAAGUAGAAGUGUAUAGGAUAGUGAAUAAAUGAAAUGCAUGAACCCUAAAGGAAUGCAAUCAAAACGGGAACGGAGAGUCUUAACUUUGUGACUUUAAUUUUCCCUUUGAUUAGAAAGGAGAACUAGCGUGCUAAGGCUAUUUUGUAGCCAAACUCGCUCGUUUCCCUUAUCGAAAGGGGACUCUCAAGCAAAUGUAUCCUAUAACUAGCAUGGGGUGCAAAAAUCCUAAAAUGAGGGGAAAGGGGUUCGAGGAGCAUGCCAAAUGAUAAAACGAAGAAAAAUACAUGAAAUGAAGUGAAACAUGCAAGUAUGGACUCAACGAGAGAAAUCCCUAAGGUUCUAGCGUUGGACUAGCCCAUUCUAUGAAUUCCUACUAGCGUUGGACUAGUGGAAACGUACAUUCAUCCAUCACAUUCAUUCAUGACUAUGGAAAGCGAGUAGACAUGUCAAUCACCUAUAAACACAUAGCACAUAACACUUAGCAUGCUCGACUAAAUGCAAAAACCUAAUUAAAGCAAAUAACACAUAACAUAUAGCAAGCAACCAAACUAAUGGAACUAUUACAUUUGCUAGCUAGGCACACGUCUUCAAUAGGUCUUCAUCGAAUGCUCCUCCAAGCCCUAUCUAUUACAAGCCAAGAGGUGUACACAUACCCCAUUAAAGAAUAACUUAAUGAAAAUGAAAGUAAAUGACAUAAAUGAAAGGAAUUAAGGAAAGGCUAGGAAAGCAAAGUAGACAUGCAAUUCUCACUUAGCACGUUGGAUCACAUAGGAGAGACACAAAGAGGGAUAAAAGAAAUUAUACCGCCCCCUUGAAUUGAUGCCCUAAAUGGAGUGAAAUCACUUAUUUAUCCUCCAAAAUAAAAGAAAUGGUCAAGGUACCAAUUUAUUUGGGGAAAAUUAAAGAAAAUUGGCAAACACAAGCUCACUUGGUCAUAAAGCCCUUAAAGUCAUGAAUUAAGUGCAAUUGAAACAAAGCAUGGUAUUCAAUUGAAACAAACAAGCAAUGAAGUUGUGAAAUUAAAAGCUAUCAAGGACCAAAUUGAGGAAAUCAUUCAAUUGAUUGGGCCAUAGUAGGACAAGGGGAGACUUGGGGGGCCAAAGUGUAAUUUUUUGAAAGCUUUCAUGCAUGCAUACGUAAAAGCUUAAACUUCUGCAAGUUUAUUUAGACAAGGCUUCUGCAAUCAGCACUUCGCCAAAAACAGCUUUCAAACACAAUUAAAUCCAAGCAAACAAUCACACAAUCCUCUCACUUUGCAUCAUGAAAACUUGUAGAUUUAGGCACCAAAAGUCGGACAGCAGACAUGCAAAUUUGAACAACUCAAACAAGUUCAUGCAAAAACUUACAAAACAUUUCUGCAACAAGAGGAGAUUUUCGACAGCCAACCCAAGCUUUGGAAACUUGAGCAACCUUAUGCGGCAAACAAAAAACUUAACAAAGAAAAGGGUCCAACCUCCUAGCACCCACUAAAAUGUCGUAAACUCAAUCUCAAAAUGCCAUUUCAUGUAUACAAAGGAAGGAAAGAAAUCUGGAAUUAGAAGCAAACUGCCGACCUUAGCUUCAUUCAAGAAACAAAACAAAACUCUCCCACUAUUCAGGAUUUUUAGGGAGAUCUAUCUUACUUGGCCAACAUUCAAGCUAGUUUAUGUUUCCUUGGAUUCAAAGACUGCAGACUCAACACCAAAACAUUUCAUUUUCUUCCUUCAACAUAAGAUUAAACAGCACUUUAUGUACAAAACUCGGUGAGCAGAGAGGAAACAACAAGAAAAGUGCAGCAGCUUUUAUUUUUAAAAUUUCAGCAUAGAUAUAUUCGUGUGUGAGAACUCAAACAAACUCUACACAUUUGACAGCCCAAACUGAAUGUAAUUCGCACAAGACAACAAGCCACCACCUGAUCUACUUGCUUUACAAUGCAACAAAAGGCACGGAACAACAUUAUCGCAGCAAGUGGACAGCAACAAAGAAAGAAUAGGCAGCGAGCUCUUUAUACCUUAGGAAGCUGGAAAUUGACAUGAUUAAUCAAACUUCAAUCAAAUGCUGAAGUUUAAUGCAAACAAAUACUAGCUAAAGGAGCUAGGCAGAAUGUAGACAUGCAACUGAUGAAGCGUCUGCAAUUUCUGGUGCCUCUAAAUUUUAGCAAACUCAUGCAACAAAUACCAAGACCCCAAACCAGAAGAACCUUAUCCGUAUGUUGGACUUUGGAACAAAGGGGAGAGGGAAAAAUAAAAUGACACCAUAUAAACAUUUCUAAAACUUCAACCCAAAUCUCCAAGAAUACAAACCCCAAAUCCUAGAAUGAACGCAGAAUGCAUGAUUCAUGCUCUCCCAAUUUCAUGGCCAAAGGCUUUUGACUGUACGCUCCUCAAGAAGCUCUUCAAAACACAGACCUACCCAAGAAAUGAUUCAAUGCAGUUCCCCAUUUGCCCCAAGGCCAGCAAUGAGAGAAAGUGACGUGAAGAAGAGAGGAGGCAUCCAACAAACGCUCUCGGACUCACAAUGCAAAAAUGUAGCGUGAACUGGUUACUCAAGCAUGCAGAAUCGAAAACCAGAAAUUCUAACCCAUUUCCAAACCAAGAAAACCAUGAUAUCUAAGCCUUUCAUUGCUAAAACCCAUCACCAACAUUGCAAAACCGUAAAAGAAACGGCAACCAGGGAAACAUUAAGGAACCAGACCCAACGAAAACUAUAAAGCUGAAAGCUUAUUGCAAUUUUUUGGUUUUUGUUCAUUCAAACGCAUAAAGAUCGUUCAUAAACAUUAGACGGACAGCUUCAUGAAACUCAUCAUACAAUCCUACAUAGAAAACUCUAACAGCUGUCCCUAAAAUCCAGCCAAUACUCAUGGAUUCAUCCAUCCCAACCAGAUUUCGCAGACAGGGUUCAUAAAGGGAAACGACACAAGCGUAAAGACAAAAACUUUUAGCAUUCUAUCAUAGUCAACAGUUUAUAAAUGGCUCCAGAGUAGAAAAAACAUCACCUUUAGCUUUUGAUCAAAGCUUGAUUCAGAAGAUGAAAUCUUUGCUCAGUAGAAUCGUCCUUUCCUGGUUUUUGCCAUUUUCCUUCUGUCCGGCAGCCGCUUAUCCUUGUUUUCUCCCUUCGGUUUCAGCCAAAUACCCCCUUCGAAACCUUCCUCCUUUGCUGGUGUUGCUUCGUUCCUCCGUCGUCACUUUCCGCUUCCUUUUCCCUUUUCGCCUUGCUUCACUUAGCUAUCCCGCCGCCCCUUUCUCCUCUCAACCCUCUUUUUAGCCGUCACGUCUCUCCUCAUUCCCAACCCUAUCUCUCUCGGCUUCCUCCCCUUUUUUCUUUUUCUCCCUUCUCCCAAAACUCUCUCCCUUGCGGCUUCUGAUUUUUCUUUUAGUUUGCAGCCGCCCACUCUCCCCUCCUUUGCAGCUGCCUUCUCCUUUUCUAUUUAUAUGGGAAUCCCUAGCCCUAAACAACUCAGCAACUUCCUCUGUAUUUGCAGCUAAGGGCUGCCUGGUCCUCUGUUUGCAAUCUGCGGCAAUACGUAGCUUGCAUGCCGCAUUUCUAUUUUUUUUUUUAGAUUAAUUAAAACAAUAUUGAUAAUAAUAAAAAUAAAUAACAAAAUAAUUUAAUUAACCUUGGAUAAAACAAAUAAACUAGAAACAACAAAGUAUAAAAUCCAAUUCUUUUUCAUUUUCCAUUUUUUUUAUGAUUUUUCUUUUUUUCCUCUUUUUCCAUGAUUUUUCCUUUUUUCAUGAUUUUUCCUUUUUUUUCAUUUUUUCAUGAUUUUCUACGCUAAAACUUAAAAAGCAAAAACUAAAAAAACUAAAAAGUGAAUAAAACUAAAAUAAAAUAAAAUAACACCUAAAAGGCAAAACAAACAAUAAUGAACAAAUGCAAACCAUCUAAAACAAAAUCAUGAAAUUAACAAAAAUCAAUAGACAAGAAUUAUCACUAAAACGAAGCAUAUAAAUUAUUUCAAAAUUUGGUGUCUACAACUGUACUGAUUGGAAUGCAAAACCUGGACUAUUCCUUUUGUGAUGCAAAUGAUAGUACCUUUUGCCAACUUGCAGGAUACUGGUAUCUUUAUCCCAGGCCUAUGCUACUAGCGUCUGAUCCUAUUUCACUGUAGUUUGUAUAAUGUAUCAAAAUAGGGGUGCUUACCAUUCUAUUUCUUGAUCAUUUGAUUGUUAUUCUUGGAACAAAUUCUGUUUUUAUUUGCCCAUGUCAAACAUACCAACGCCAGUAUAUUUCCCUUGUACAAGUUCUAAGAGAUUUGAUUCUCAUUAUGGACAUCUGAGAUCAAUAAAACCUAUGAAAAGGUCUUCGUCCCUUGGGUUACAUUCUUGAUAAGUCCUUAUUUGCAUUCCAAAAGGAAUUUAUGCCCCAAUUGAUCAAGUGCCUCUGAUCUUUUGCAUUACUAUUUCUCAGAGGCUGUUUUAAGUGUGAUGCUUCAAGUAUCUUGAGCUCAAAAAAGUUGAUUUCAGUACCUGGUGGAUUGCAAAGUCAACUGUAAGAGAGAAUGCAUAUACACUUGCUUGCUACAGUGAGGUUCGAAGUACUCAAACAAAGAGAAUAUACAGCAGGUGAUAAGAACGAUAAUGUCCAGUGAUUCAUGCAAGGGCCUGGUGCAGUUGUUGAAGGAGAUGCUACGAGAUCCCCUCUGGUGUCUGAAACCUGCUUGGCAUAAUUCAAGUUGAAUUGGGCUGUUGGAUUUUGCUUCAGGGGUUGUAGUGAUCUACGUUUAGUGAUCAUCUUGCAUUCUUAAACUGUAUGCUCUUGUAUUUCUCAUAACUGAACCACAGAUGAAGGGUGUACUAGAAAUCGUCAACAUGAUCCUAUAGUAAGUGAAACCGUGAACAACAUAGUGCAGCUAUCCUAUCCUACAUGCAGGACUUUCAAGAUAGCUAGUAAGGAUCUGAAUGUGAAGUUAGUAACCAAUGUGAAACAUUUUCUAGAGUCAUUGGAGAGUAAUACAGGACAUGAGCUUAUCCAUCUGGUUUUUAAGAAGGCCAAGGAGCAAAAGAGCAACUCUCAAGCAACAUUGAUGAAACCUCCUCCUUCCUUGGGGUUGCUUUAAGUUUGUACUCCUAUUUAUUUUGUUGACAAGCUGCCCGUGUGAUCACACUUCAUUAUUGAAAAUUUUGUUUGAAAAAAAAAAGAUUGUAAAGGUUUAUACUAAAAUGAUCACUGCUUUUAGGUGGAUCCCAUUUGCAUGUACAUAUUCAUGGAAAUGUUGUAAAAUCGAGUAAGAUUGAAUAGUGAAGUUAAUUAACAAUAAUUGACAAAAAAAGUUUGGCGCCUAAUUCCACCAACAUAAUGGGAGUCCUAAUGCAUGUCAAUUGAAAAUUGUACUAAUUGGUAAGUAUGUUGGUGUUAUACUUUGUGGAUUUUGAAUGGAAAAACAUUAAAAUUUAGUGGAUAGAAUAACGUGGCAUGUGAUAUUUGAUCAUAUUCCUAAAUGUAACAUACGUUUCUAGUUUCAAUAAAACUGUCUUCCAUCAUAAAAAUUAUUUAACUAUUACCAAACUCCUAGCUGUGAGACCCCGGUUAGUCCUUCAUUUUGAUAUUAUGGGUAUUAAAGAGCAUUAACUGUUAUUUUGUACUAAUGAUAUAGAAAACCCUAAUUUGGGUUAUGACUAAAACUUUAGUUUUUGUAUUAAUCAUAAGUUUGAGUUGUAAUUCAUGUUAGGUAUUCUAGUGUGUGUUUUGGUACAGGUAAAUAUAGGAUUUGAUUUAUUUUACAAAGGGUAAGUAAGUUUAAAAAUGUUAGAAAACCCUAAAUGAGCAAAACCUCUACUGUUAUAAUCUAUUAAAAGUUUUAAGUUGGGUUUAAAACCCUAAUUUUGCCUAUGACAAGAAGGUUGUUGUUUCGUUACUUUUAUGUGAGAUAAGGUAUGAUUAAGUAUAUGUGGUUAAGAUAGGAGGGUGAUUAGUAAAGCAAUUAAGUGCGAUUACAUAUUUUGGACUAGAUUAAGUUUGUAAUCUAUGGAGUUAAUUGAAAGCUUUUCAUAUAUUUAUGGGCAAGAGUGUAAGAAAGAGAAAGUGAUGUUGUAGGGGCUAAGGAGCAAAAUUCAAACUUUUGUGUGAUUGGUUGUAGUAGAAAAUAUCUCUUAUGAGUUUUGACUUAUAUGUAUCAUAGGAAAUUGUAAGAUAACCAUAAGGUUUAAAACAAAACAAAAAUAAAGAGAAAAAGAGAGAGAGAGCCGAGAUUGAAGCUUGAAGAGGAGAACAAAUUUCUUCCAAGUUCAUUCAAGUUUAGCUAUCCAUCUUGAUCUUGGAGGUUAGGGCAACAACUUUGGUACUUGAUUGUUGUAGUUUCAUCACUUACAAAGCUUACUUGAAGGUAAAUCAUCUCACUUGGAAGUUGGUUUUUGGGUGAAUGAAUCUUGAAGCCAUGAAAGUGAUUCUCCUGUUGUGAUUGUACACUUUUAUGGUUUAUAUGGUAAAUAUUGAGUAGUUUAAUGGUUUAUUUUAGUGGUUUAUUGCUGUAUAAAUUUCGGUUAAGACUAUGAAAAAUUAGGGUUUCUUGCUUCAUGGUUCUUUAAGUUGAUUUGGUUGGGAGUUUGACUUGUAAAUAGAAUAUUUGGUGUGAUAAGUUCACUUAUACGGCUGAUUCUUAGCAAAAUCAGAUUUGGCCAUGAAACCCUAGCUUAAGGGGGAGUUAGUUUGGCUUAGCUAGGGCUUAGAUGGUUAGGGUGUGCUUGGUUAGGCUUGGAGGUUAGUUGAACUUGUAAGAUUAAAAGUAUAGAAUAUGGUUAGUGUUUGUCAGAUUUUGAGGUUAGGUUGAGAAAGGAAUUUCGGGUCUCUUGUGGAGCAAUUAGGAGCUAGUAGAUGUAUGUUUAUUUGGUAUGAUAUUGGUUAGAAAACUUGCAUGAGAAUCAUAGAAACGAAUCAUACGUUUGCGACUCGCGAAACCGUUCAAACUGGAAAACAGGGUAGCCCAGAACCCGAAUUUUGGCUCUAUUUUUCUUUGUGCUACGUAUUGAUUCAGGGUUUACCCAAAACAUAAAAGUUAUAGCUUCUUAAGUCCUAGUUGUGCCUGCAAAAUUUCAGCACAAUCCGAUCAGUGUAGCUCCAAUUAUACCCAAAACAAUGUAAGGUGUCAGAAUUGCCGUCGAAGCCGGUCAGUUCUGAGUUUGAAUUUUGGACCCAUUUUUCCCUAUGCUCUGUACUGAUUCAGUUUUUGGUCAAAACACAAAAGUUAUAGCCUUAUAAAUGAGAUUUCCAACGCCUCUAGAAUUUCUUAAUUCUGAUCUAUGAGUCAUGAGUUAUGGUCGUUCAAACAGGGCCUGUUUGGUAACUUGAAUUGAAACGGCUGGGACUGUCUUGUACAUUUUUGCCCUAGUUCUGUUGCGAUCUGGACUAUAGGCCCUUCAUGAAAGUUGUAACUCAUUCUCUUAGCUUUGAAACGGUGUUUCAUACACUUUAAUCCGACAUUCCUAACCUAACUUGUAGUCAAAAUAGUUUGGGACGGCAAAUCUGCCCGUUUCCGUUUUGCCGACCGUUUCCAUUUCCGUUUCCAUUUGCCGUUUCCGCGCCCGCGUGUGUCCGUUUUGCAAUUUUACUUGAUUUAUGCCUCUUAGUAGUCGUUUGUGAAAUAAUAUGGUGCAAUCUUCUAUUCUAGACGGUGGUGAGUUAGACGGAGCCAGUGGGGCCUACUAGCUAUCAUUCGCGACGUGAUUUUCGCACUUUUGCUAUCCUUGUUUUGUGUGUAAGUAUUCAGGCUGUUUUUAUGUAUAAGUUGCUUAUGUGUUUUGAGGUGAAUAAAAGGGUACUUAGGCGAGGGUGUACUUUAUCACACUUGACCUAAACCCUAAUUUACAUAUAUAUUUGUACAUGACAUGUGUAUAUGAACUGUGUUGGGACUGAACCCCUUGAGCUUGUAGUUCGGGGCGACUUUUGUGAAUUUGUGAACUAUGAUAAAAUUGGGGCCCGAUCUCAAGACUUAGACGGACUAUUCGAGCCGGCCGGGUCUUGGUCAAAGUCAGUCCAACCUAGUCUUGAGGUCACAAGUUUGUGGACCAAGUUUGUUUUCGUUUUGAUUGCUCGAGCCAUUUUAUGUGAUUGAUUGGCCAGUGAGGGUGAUAAGUUGUACGGUGGGAGUACAAGUGGAGUUCUACGGACCCUAAUUUGUGGUCGACGGAGUGUCGACAGGAGGUUACUCAUGGCACACGAUUUGGCUUUGGAGCCAACCUGUAUCCUUAACUUGUGUUGUUACUUUUGUACUCUUGAUUUGACAUCACUGUGACGUAAUUGUUCGUCUUAUUGUGAAAUUUAUGCUUUUACCCCUAUUUAUUUACUAAGUUUCUAACUUACCCUUUUCCUUUGUUGUCCUUAUCAGGGGACGACGCGGGGAUCCUUUUGGCACUAUCACUAGUAUAGAUAGUUUCAGGUUGUCAUAGUUGGACAAUUAAGAUGUUUCUUCUUGUUUUGGUGAUCUACAUAAGAACCCUUCUUCGGGUUUACUUUCUGCUUUUGGUUAUUACCAUAGGAUAAUGUAGUAGUCUAAAUAUCUACUUUUGAGGAUAUAAAUAGAACUCUUUUGGAAUGUAUAUAUUGUGAAUAGUACUCUUUUGAUUUAAAUAGUUUCAUUGCUUUGCGUUUUCGAGUCCUGACGCGAGUUAGAUAGACGGUCCGCUAAAUCCUUUGGUACGCCUCUGAGUGCGGUGGAAUCGUCACACUAGUCAGCAAAGUAUUGAAAGCCAAGUAUUUUCCAAAGGAAUCAAUUUUUACUUGUAAAGUUCAGGGUAAUACAUCUUGGUUUUGGAAAGGACUGAUGGAAGUCAGAGGGAUCGUGGAAAAAGGAGUAAGGAGGAGAAUUGGCAAUGGGAGAGGCACAAACAUAUGGGAGCAUGAAUGGAUACCAGUUUCUCCAUCAGGUCAGCCUACAACUCCAAGACCCCCAAAUUGUGAGGUUGUAUUUGUACAGCAGCUAAUCAACCAAAGUAGAUGGAACACAAAUGCAAUAUUCAGAUUGUUCAACAAGAAUGAUGCAGAGAGGAUUCUCAAUAUUCCAAUUAGUUUUGCAGGUAGAGCAGAUUCCAAUUACUGCAAACAAAGUGAAAGAGGCGAGUAUACAGUGAGAUCUGGCUACAAAAGGUUCUUAGAUGAGAGAUUAGGCAGCAACAAAGGACAGGAACCUGUUGGAACUAGUUUUGAUGUAGGCAGUAAUCAAAUCAAGCAAAUUUGGAAUACACUGUGGAAGCUCAACAUCAAACACAAAGUUAAGGUGUUUUUCUGGAAGUGUGUUAAUGGAGCGUUACCAGUCACAGAGACAAUCCACAGGAAAGUUGCAAUUGGGGAUCCAGUGUGCAAGGGAUGCGAAGAGGAGCCAGAAACGAUAGAACACACACUUUUGCAAUGUCCCCUAGCAAACGAUGUCUGGAAAGUAGCUCCAGUAAUGUGGGAUGGAGCAAAAAAACUAGAGGUGCAACUUCACAAGGUGGUGGAGCAGGAUCACAGAAGCUAGAACAAGUCAAGAGGGUAACAGUCAUAUUGGACUGCAAACAUUUUAUGGCACAUUUGGAAAGAGAGGAAUAAGAGGGAAUUUGAGAACCAAGGUAGACACCAACCGUGCUGUGUUAUUCAAAAAGCACAUAAAAAAUGGCUGGAGAUGGAGGAAGUAAAUAGGAAGGAAACUGAUCAGAAUACAACAAAAACAAUGCCAGACCUGGAGGGGGAACAUGAGGUACAAGAGGACCAGGAUUUGAUAAGGCCGAGAGUGACAAUAACGAGUUUAUUGAGACCUGUUUUGUUGGGUAUUGGAGUUGCUAUCAACACAAUGUCACGUGAUGCAACAGAAUUUUGGGCAUUAAAGGACAGAAGCUACAGAAACAAGAACACGGAUGUAGCUUCAGCAGCCAGACUAGUCUUGUGCAAAGCGCUGGGAAGAGGAUGGUGCAAUAUCCGAAUACAACUCCAAAACAAGGAAGUGCCGAGACAAAUCAAGCAUGGUAAAUUAUCUGAUGGCAAACUGAAAACGAUCCUAGAGGAUAUAUUUUGCUUAAAGUCGUUGUUUCGAAUGUGCUCUUUUUGCUUAGAUAGUACUGAUAAUAGUAACACUAAUGCUAAUGUUAGCUCAUAUGCCUUAGGCAUUUUGAUGGAUGAGAAAGGAUCUAUUCCUUUGUGUUGUUGAACACAAGUUUUAUAGUUUAAUGAGCCGUUGCUCAAAUUGUAAAGUCAUCUUUUAGAUCAAUAUAAGUAAUUUAACGUUUGGAAAAAAAAAAUUACCCCUUCCCUCCUCCUCAAAAGGAGAUAAGAAUUUGUCAUCUAGAUUUGACAUUCCUGUGUUUGGAUUGUAAAAAAUUACACUUUAUUUACAUCUUAUUUACACACACUGGCUUACUUGCAUCAUCAACAUAUUUUUCAAUCAUCUUUUUAUCUCACAUACAUCAUAUCAAAAAAAUGCUACAGUAUUUUUUCACAAAAUUAUUUCAAAUAAUUUACAAUCCAAACACUAUGUUUGAGGAUAAGUUGGAGGUUACUUGGAGUUUUAGAAAUUUAAUGUGCUCCACUAAUGUGAACUCAACUGUUAUAGGGAGAGCACUAAUAAGUGCAAUUUCUUGGAAGGUUUUUUUGCUUAUCUGAUCUACUACACAAUUAAUUAAUCGUUAAGCACUCUAAGUCGUAUUAGUAUUAUGUAGUUGUAGUAUUUUAUAAAGAUACUAAGCAGAAAAGCGCCACAUGGUUGGGUUCCUUAGUUAGGGAAGCGAGGCAGGGACGGUUCUUUGAUCAGUGUAAUAUUUUUUUGAAUAUUUUAUAAUUUUAUGUAAACUUCUCAUACAUCUUUAUAAUAUGAGAUGUGAUAUUUUGUUACUGUUCAUGUGGGUGUCAUAUGUAAUAAUUGUGUUUCUAUCAUUAAAUUUUAUAAAUAGUUCACAUAGAAUUACAUAUUGUUUAAAAAAAUGUUAUAUCAUUCAUAAAGAAUGGGUUUGUUAGCUAGGGCAGUGGGAUAGGGACGGUUCCUAAACAGCAUAACUAUUCGUGUGAGUUCCAUAUAUAAUAAUUAUGUUUAUAUUGUUAAGUUUGAUGAAUAGUUCACGUAGAAUUAUACAUAACAGUCGUUACUGAUGACAACAGUUCGUGCCUUUGCUCCGUUAGUUAGGUUAGGUUAGCAAGUCAUAGUCAGCCCUGCUAUUCAUUCCCUUGUCUGGGCUAGAGCUGAGCAGAGCAGAUAAAUUGCCGCCAAUUGACGUUGGAAUUCUGGAAGGCCAAAAUGGUAAAUAAAACCUCCGCUCGUACAGGCCGGCCGGGCUUCGGCGGGCUUCAGAUUUUUAGUACCCACCCCAAAAAAAUAAAAUAAAAUAAAAUAAAAAAGGGAGUUGGCGCUUUCAUUCGAACUUUCAAAAUCCCUCCUUUCAUUCCCAGAUCUCCUUUUCUAAUUCCGCCAAAAUCCCUAUUUCUCUUUUUCCCCUUCUUCUUAACGGCUCUCUCUUUCUCUCUCGCAUACUCGCACAUUAGUAGUAGUAGCAGCAGCAGAAGAAGAAUGGGAAUGGAGUUGCUGCCCUCAACAAAUCAAGCGUCCGAAGCAGCUGCUGCCGCUGCCGCUGCCGGUGGUAGUGGUGGUGGAUCUCAACACAUUUAUUGCCGUAAACAGAAAUCUCUCGGCCUCUUAUGUUCCAAGUACUACUACUACUACUACUACCUUUUCUUCUUCUUCUUCUUUCUUCACUAUUCAUGUCCCUGCCCAAUUUUCAUUUCUAUUACAGCAUAGUACUAUCAAUUUUCGUGUUUCAUUUUUUACAGACUAAAAAUGUCUGAUACAUGUAUCUUGAAUGCAAUAAUGCAGUUUCUUAAGAUUAUACGAUAGGGAAGGUGUCGAGACCAUAGGGCUUGACGACGCCGCUGCUCGUUUGGGUAGGUACCCCUUGCUUCUCUUCUCCAAUUUUCACUUACUUCCUUCGCCAUUUUCCUUUUUUUUAUGUUUGUUAAUUUUCCCCUGCACGUGAAUUAGUAGCAGUAAAAGAUGUUCCUUAUUGGAUUCUUCUAAUUUUCUAUAUUUUUUAUUCUCUCGGUUAAAAUUAAUGCUACUACUAUGAUGUUAGGGGUUGAGAGGCGGCGGAUCUAUGACAUAGUCAAUGUCUUGGAGAGCGUUGGUGUAAGACUCUCUCUUUCUUUCUUUUUUCCCUCUUUUUUUUUUUAGAUUUAUAGUAUUACUAUAUUUUUAUAUUUCAGUCUAGGCCUUCUAAAAUUAAAUGAAUUGGGCCAAAAAAACCUGACCUUGCUGUCUUGGAAUUUUCAUCGGCUCAGGUUCUUGCUAGGAAGGCCAAAAAUCGCUAUACAUGGAAAGGUUUUGGCGCAAUUCCUUCUGCCUUGCAACUUCUUAAGGUUGGUUGGUUUGUUGUCUUCUUUCCUUUUUUUCCCCCUUGUCAUGUUUAAUCUUUCUUGUGUGAAAAUGGUACUCAACUGGGCUCUCAUGGUGUCAUAGGAAGAAGGUAUGAUGACGAAUGAGAAUGCAAAUGAUGGAACUUCGUCUGUAAAAGUAUGCUUGGCCAUUUUCAUAACUCUUCUUCCUUCCGGUUUCCUGCUAUAUUUUGUGCUCUUGUAUGAUAUGAGUACCAUUUUCUCCUUUUAGACUUCAGAUGAUGAGGAGGAUGAUACCUACUCAAAUCUUAGCAACUACUCAAGUCAGAAUCACAACUUCAACCCCAUUUCUGCUCCAAAGCUUCCACAGUCAUCCAAAUAUGGUACUACUAUUUGCUUCUUUAACUGUAUGAUAUGCUCUGCUGCUUAUUGUGCAGUCAGUUUUGUGCUCGACUUCUAUCUGAAUUGUUAGACUAAUUUAUCAUCCUGUACUUCAGCUGACAACAGGAAAGAGAAGUCUUUGGCAUUGCUCACCCAAAACUUUGUUAAGCUAUUCCUUUGUAUGGAUGUAAGUGAAACCACGGCUUGAAUGAUUAACCUUUCCUGCUGGCAUAAUCAGACACACUGUUCAACUUUUGGGUGCCUGAAUUGAUUUAUGUUCUUGUAGAUGGACAUGAUUUCUCUUGAUGAUGCUGCAAAGAUAUUGCUUAAGAAUGGAAAGGAUCCUGCAAUGACAAGAAGUAAUUACUUUGUCAAUUUGACUUUCAUUGUAUUUGGUAGAUAUCUGGAUGUGGAUGAUAACAUUGUUUUCCAUCAUAUGCUGCAGGUAAAGUCAGAAGGCUGUAUGACAUUGCCAAUGUGUUGGCUUCAAUGAAAUUUAUUGAGAAGGUAAUCCCAUCUUUUCUAGUAUGUGUAUAGUAAUGCACAGGACUCAAGGAAAAUAUCCCAGUCAUGUAGAAUGGUUAAGAUUUAAUAUAGCAUUGGUGCAAGAACGUUAAACUGUUUUCAAACUAUGAGUUGGAGAGCAUGGAACGUCUUAGGAUUUGGAGUGAAGCUUUAAUGGCAACAUUUACGUAUUAAUCACCUGCCAUUUGCAUGACGUGCAGACACAUCAUCCAGAAACAAGAAAACCUGCUUUUAGAUGGUUGGGUAUGAAAGGUAUAUCUGAAAGCGGAGCUGAUCCUUCAGCUAUUGAUGGGUCUAAGAAAAGGGCAUUUGGGAUGGAUCUGACAAAUAGGACUGUUAGGAGGAGUAAGGUGGAACUGGUGGGGGAUGGAGGAUUGCAACAGGGCAUGAAGGUACAACUUAAAGCACAAGUAAAACGUGAGGCUUUGGAAGAUGAGGUUCUUCGGCCAAAAUUGCAGAUCGACUCAAGAGCCAGCACAAAAAGUUACCGGUUUGGCCCUUUUGCCCCUGUGAAUGCACCACACGUCGCAGCUUCUGAGGAAAAUAAAGAAACACAGAGUCAUGAUUGGGAAAGUCUAGCAGCUACUUAUCGCCCUCAGUACCAUAAUCAAGGUAUUAUGCUUGAUCACACAAUAAGGUACAUUUGAUUGUAUAAGCCUUCAGGAAACCUAUAAAUGGGGCAUUCCAGUAACAGUUUUAAAUGUGCAGUUGUUCUCUUUUCCAGUUUCUCCAUUUUGUGCUGUUUGGUGUGUUGGAUAGUUACAUGUUUCGACUAGAAUUCUAUGCUUAGGUGAUUACUUAGAUGUUAUUCUUACAUUGAUACUUCUCUACAUACAGAUUACGUUUUACAAUGAUUGUUACUUCCUAUAGUCUAUUGCCUUGUGUUAAGCAACCUGUCCCUUUUGUGUCUGCAUCCUGUUCUUCAAGUAGGAGGGAUUAUAAGUGGGAGGUCCUGGGUUCAAGACCUCAUACUUGCCCAAAAAAAAGUACUAUCAUUCACCCAGUCAUAAAUUUCAGUUUUCGAGAUUGUCUAUUUACCAGUUUGCUAUACAGCCUUCAUAUUGUUGAUCAGAUUUCAAUUAAAAAAUGAUAGGAUCUGAAUAACUUAAUGAUGGUAGGGAUGUACCUUUUGGGCAUUAUGCCCUAAAGGAGCCUGAUGUGAUUCAUUACUAAUAGAAUUUUGGUGCUUCUGAUGUUUCAGCUUUGAGAGAUCUUUUUGCACAUUAUGUGGAAGCUUGGAAAUCUUGGUACACUGAAGUUGCUGAGAACCCAAUACAACUGAUCUCCUAAAACUUGCUUUUUGUAUAGUCAUUACUUGUAUUCAGAAAGCACGGCAACUAAGCUCUGAGAUUCAUUUCAUGGCAGAGUAGAUAUUCUGAUCCUUUAUGCAUAAUCUCCAUGCAUCAGCCACAAAGUUUACACUCUGUAAAACUCAAAUUCAAUAUUGAUUUCAAUAAUACAUUACCAGAGUGAAGAUCCAUUUACUCUUCUUCAUCUAGCUUUUACUGCUUUAUGUCUGUUUGGUGUUAGCUUUACACCCUGUAAACUCAAAUUCAAUAUUUUUUUCAAUAAUACAUCACUAGAACGAUGCGCCAUAUACUCAAAUUUAUUUAUGUCUGUUUGGUGUUAGCUUUAGUUUAAUCUUGGCCAUGUUCAGUGCACCACUUAAUAGUCAUUUAUCAAGGUCCGACUUUUGAUUUAUGCUCAUCUCUGAAACGCUAACUCUUCACCCAACUUUUCAUUUGUGGAUUUAAACCAGAAAGCACUUAAUUUUGAAGAGAUCACUCAGCUGUAGUUUUCAGAACUGUUGUAAGGUGUUACUUUUAUCUAUUUGUCUAUAUUAUCAAUGUGGAAAGGAGCUUAAAGGCUGAAGCUUGAGUUGUUUUCUUUGGAUCAGAAGUUCUUCUAAGCUGAGUCCUUCAAUGUAUACAACCCUAGAAAAUGCUUUGAUGAACAUUCUAACUUAAGAUUUACAGAAUCUAAUCGAUGAUGUCUGGAAAGUCAAUACGUGCUUAGAGAAAGUAAAAUACGGACCUCUAAGGAAAGACUUUUGACAAAAUCUGGAAGCACUGUUUCAAAGAUUGCUGGUGGACACUCAACAACUCGUUGAGUAUAUUAUAAAAAAAAUAUUUGGUUCUGCAAGUUGGAUUCAUAUACGAACUCAUAAGAGCAUAAAUGAAUGUCCACUUGAAUUUAAUUGAAUCGUCACCAUUUUUGUUUACUUCUGGCAAAAUAUUGUAAGUACAGUUGGUCUGGACUAUCAUUAUUCAGUCGUGGUAUGUCAUCAUCUGGCUAGCUAUGUGGAGGUAACUCUUGUUUUGUGUUAUAGUUUAUAGUGGGGCUCAAAUAAACAAGCAAAGGGAGAGCCUUUUACAGGGACCUGUAGUUACUUUGUUCGGAAAAUUAGUAAGCACAUGAUUAAUCUAGACAAAGAGGUGUAUUCUUUUAGUUAUAGUAAAAUGUGAAGCAUGAUGAUGAAGGUGUUCCUAGGAACUGCUAGAGGUAAGUCAUCUUCUCCAGAUGUAUCUAUGAGUGCCAUACUACCACAAUCAUCAAAAAAAAAAAAAAAGAAAAGAAAAAGAAAACUUUAGCCUCUAGCCAACUGCCAAAGUUCCAGCAGUUUUUUUUAACAAAGAUAAAUGUUUUCCUCUUUCAUCGAUUUGUCUCUUCUACUAAGUCUCAUUAAGGAGUUUCCAAUUAUAUGAGAAGGGCAGCUAUGAAAUAAGGCUGGAGCUUCUCAGAUUGUAACAAUGCAUCUCUAUUUGGUUAUCUGCAACUUUAGUGGAGGAUUAUUCAAGACCAACCCGGUCAAGCUGGAAUCUGGACUGAAUGAAGGUGAAUCCUGUAGCAAACGAGUAUUUUUCUCAUUUGUUGAUGCAGGAGUGCAUUCACGUGGGUUACCGCAGGUAAAAUCUCCAAUUCAUAAAAAUCUGCCAGAAAAUUUUCUGGAAGAGGCUGUUUUUGGCUUAAAAGAUCACAUCUAAGCCUCAACAACUUUAAACAUUACAGAAUGGGGCCAAACUAGGCUGGAAAGGACAGUAAGGUCUGCAUCCUCAUUUUUUCUUUGCAAUCUUACCAAAGAAACUUGAAUCUGGUGGAAUCAGUAUUGUAGAUUUUUUCCUCAAAUGUAAAAGAAUAUGUUUUCUCCAAAUUAUCCGCUCAGCCAGGUAUUUUGGCAACACAAUAAUUUUAAUCUUAAAUCAAGACCAUUGGAUCAGUUUGUUUAUUCCACAAAGCUCCCUGAGGAGAUCUAGACUACACUUUCUUUCAGCUAAUGUUGCCACAGAUGUUCAACAUUUCCCUAAUCUUUUAAAUAGGCUCGGAACUUAGACGUAUGACAGUCAAAGUGAUUAACGAAGAUAAUUCCAGUUCUGUGAUCAAAGGGACAACUAGAAAUGAUCACACACUGUUGCACCAUUGGCCAUGCAUUGAGGGUGAAGAAAUUUAAAAAACUCCUGUAAAUGCCCACUGAUUUUUCCAGGCUGCAAGGUUUUGAGAUGAUAUCAGAUAUGUUUAAAGCUCAAUGAGAUCUUGCCUACUGGGGUCAGUUUAAUUUGAGAUGAUAUCAGCUAUGUCUAAAGCUCAAUUAGACUUUGCCUAUCUGUGCAAGUACUUGUCGGUCAGCAUAUCUUUCUUUUUCCUUUUCUUUUCCUGGUUAGCGUAUCUGUUUUCAAAGAAUUAGUCAUUGGACUUUGUUCAUACAAUUCACACGCUUCUGUAUUCUGAUCAAGAACGGACGUGUGCUACUGAUAGAUUGCACAAUUUGUAAGAACCUAAGUUAAAAUCAUUCAAGCUCAAAGUUUCAACAUUAAGGUGAAAAGCUAUGUAUUCUGAGUAGAUCUUUGAGGCUGAGGUUUUCUUAUAGAUUUCUGUAUAGAAUUCAUGAAAAGAAUACCAGCACUGAUAAACUGCAUGAAAUCAGAAAGAAACUCGAGUCACAUCUCUUCUUCUUUUAUUUGCUAUCGUUACUGGUCCUUUUUCUUUCUUUUAAAUUUUUUUGGAGACCUCACCAUUUCUUGGUUACAGCUUACAUGCCACUUCGAAGAACUGGAAGUGCUUAACUGAUGCAAACGAAUGAGCACUGCUAAGACACAAAAGGCAAAACAUGGAUACUACUGGAUAUAGAGGACUUAGCUAGACAAAAAACACUACUAGUACUUGGUACUAUGAAAAAAAUUUUCUUGUUCCCUUUGUUAGAGUAGUUGUUUUGAGCACUUGAAUUCUUGUAGAAUUUGAUCAUCAAAACGUCAUCUAACAAUUAGAAAACUGUAAAUGCUCCCGAAUAUUUAGUCAAAGCAUUAAUCUUAAUUGGGCCAUCCUGAAAUUUAUGCUGUGGAGGCAAUGGCAAUCAUUCUUAAUUUAUCCAUUGGUUAUGCCGUAGGGCAACAAGCUUUACAUCCAGCAGAGGAGAGGGAACAGAAGAAUCUUAAUGCCUUGAUAAUCACCAGGCCUGUGUUCUCCCCCUCUGACUAAUCAUUUACUCAGGACAGGAUCACCAAUCAUGAAACUUUUCAUUUGAAGUAUCCUUAGUACCAAUGUAAAAACCGUCCAUCUGUACAUGCCAGUAACAUGAAAUGGUCGAAACUUCUUGUGCAGGUCCAGCUUCAGCUGCACUCAGACAGUGUCCAUCUAUGUCUUUAUCAUAGACGUUGAACUCUUGUUGCUUGGGAUCCCACCAAAAGUGGCAAGAGUAGGUAGGUUGUCCAGGCGAAUCUGCAAGAAAGACGGUGUUGAAUUCACUUCUAUCUGCAAGCGAUACGUUGCCGAAAUCACGACCUUGGGAUGAUUGACAAUGAACAACUAAUGCAGGGGAGUCAUUUGUGAGGGAAUUGUUGAUGUGGAGAAAUACUUGCUUGUAUUCACCAUCACCACCCUCAAUGACGUGACUUGAGCAAGAAACCUGCAGACAUAAUUGAGCAAGGAAACAAAGAGAAAUGGCAAGCUAGAGUACAAAUUUGCUGGCACUACUCAUGAUGUUAGAUGGUGUUUUCCGUUGUUUGGAUGUGGAUGGAUCAUGGAUAGAGCCCUUAUAUACCAGAAUUGCAGGGAAGGGACAAAAAUACCAGUCAUUGUGGAAUUACGUUCUUGUUCUAGUUCUUGUUCUUUUUUUUUUUUUGGGUAAAAAAAUUUAAUUUUCUUAUUUUCUUUCUAUAGAAAGCUUGAACAUUUAUGUAGGAUACAGAUCAGCAUAAAUUACGAGAUUUAAUUACCUGGAUAUUGUUUUUCUAAUUGGAAAUUCAAUUUCUACUCGAUUUUUUUUAAUUGUUUAUAGAAAUAGUACCACUCCAUGUAGCAACUUUAUGUUUUCAUGAUUAUAGGAGGAGGAGGGGGGAGCACAUAAGAAGAGAUAAAUGCAUGAAGGUCUUAAAUUCAGCUACUCCAAUAGUAUAUUUGAGAAAUUAUAUAAUACAGCUGAAGUUUGACAAAAAAAAAAAAAAUAGUAUAUUUGAGCAAGAUAUUGUAUUCAAAUAUAUGUUGCAUCUCUUCUCACAAAAACUUGCGUAAGUUCGUAAAUCAAAAUUAAGGCUCCAAUUGAGGUGCCCUUAAUUUGUUCGACUGUCACUCACAGAAAUAUUACGUGUCUAUGCAAGCCAUGCUGAUGCUUCCCUAAUACAAAUUGUAAAAACUCACAGUUUAUUAAUUGAGGUCUUAAAUUGUUAGUUGUGAAAAUCUAUUCUUGAGUUUUUUAGGGGUUAAAAUCAAAAUUAGUAUUAUAACUCUAAAUUACUUGGCCCCCUUUUUUUUUGGCAAUUUUCAUCUUCUGCACAAAACUUAGUCAGCAACACUCAAUUGAUAUGACAAAUACUAUAUUUCGACGUCAUAGGUUGCUAUUGAGAACGAUGAUUUUAAAAUCUCCUUUUAAAGCAGCAAAUUUUAAGUUAUUUAUUUACACAUCUAUGCCAUAUUACACGUCUCGAAAACAUAAAAUUAGUAUUCUAAAAAAUAACUUGUGUAUUUUAAAAAAUAAUAAAAUAAGCUGAACUGAACGAAUAUUAAAAAAAGAGAACCAUUAUUGUGAAAUUAUUUAUUUCUUAAGCUGCUUAGAGAGAUGGUUAUACUAAUGGAACCUUCGUAGAUUACGAAGCUCAUCAUCUACAGGCCAGCAAUUACGAAGAACUUUGAAAUCUUGUACGUAUCCAUAUAUUCAACGGGUCAUUGGGCUGAUAUGCAACGUUGAAAUGCGCACGCAAAAUCUUCCAUGCCCAACAUGAGCCGUGCGUUGGUUCAACAGGCUAGUUAGGACCAAAGUCUACUCUCUCGGUUCAAUUUACUCACUAAUCUUCAGACAAAACUUCUUUCAAAACUUUGCUGCAGGCCAAUGUCUCCAGCUCUAUUCCUGAAAUACACUACAAAAUCUCCUUUAGUAAAACGAAAAAUUAAAAACGAAAAAGAUUCCAUAAUCAGCAAUCAGAUAAUUCAUGAAUCCUUUAGUAAAAUUAACUCUCCAAAUUGGACAAAUUCUUCACUGACAGAAAAAAAAAAGAAGGAUAUGUCUCAUAGAACAAGUACAAUCAGAAAUCAAAUAGAAAGAAUUAUAAAAGAAAAAAAAAAUAACCCCAACGCCAAGAAUAUAUAUAAGUCCUAAUAAAAGAAAUUGGAAUACUAAAAGAUUAGAAUUGCCAAAAAACAUUUGGCAAAUAUUAAAAAAAAGAAAUGCCCGAUUAUUCUCUAAAUUCAAUUCUUUUAUAAAAAUUUUCGUUGAAAGAAUAUGCAUAGAUAUAUUUUUAUUUAUCAUUAAUAUUACCAGACUCAAUACACAACUUUUUAUUGAAUCAAUAAAAAAAAUUAUGGAUAAAUCCAUUAAUAAAGCAAAUAAAGAAAGGAUUAAUAAAAAAAAUAAAAAUACAAUUUACUUUAUUUCGACUAUAAAAAAAUCAAUUGAUACUAUUAACAAUAAGACAAAUUCAUAUAUUUUUUGUGAUUUAUCCUACUUGUCACAAGCAUAUGUAUUUUACAAAUUAUCACAAACUAAAGUUAGUAACUUGUAUAAAUUAAGAUCCUUUUUUCACUACCUCGGAACCUCUUUUUUUCUUAAAACUGAAAUAAAGCAUUCGUUUGAAAAACAAGGAAUAAUUCAGAAUGAAUUAAGUCUUAAGAAACUUCCGAGUUAUGGGAUGAAUCAAUGGAAAGGUUGGUUAAAAGGACAUUAUCAAUACGAUUUACCCUCGAUUAGAUGGUCUAAAUUAAUAUCAGAAAAAUGGAGAAACUCGUGACAUUUCCAACUUCCCAUAUUAAAGGAAGCAUGUAUCUUCAAGAGCUAGCUGUACACCGCGAGCAUAUCAAUUCAUGGAUGCGUUCAACAAGCGACUUGUAGCCCAUGGUAAAUAUAAUUUACGUGAUGAACUCCCAUCACACUAAUUCACGGCUUCAAAAAAGAGGACUUGAGGUUGCAAAUGCCCCCUCUCACACAUGGUAAGAACAUCCUCCCAGCCACCAAUUACGUAUAUUUCAAACCUCAGAUGUUUAUUAGUUUUGUGAAACAAAGGUAUAGAAGGUAUAAAAGCAAGACAAAUGGGAUUUACCUUCACGGUUUUGUCGACAUACAUAAGCCACCGUUCAUGAUCCUGACUGUAUGCAAAACAGUGAUAAUGCUGCCCGUAAUAGCAAACCUAGAAAAGAAAUUGAAAAAAGGCCAUUAGAAAAAAAAAUUCAACCAUUCUUUUUCAAAGAUGAGGGUCCAUUCACAUUCAUCACUAAUACAACUAAAAUAACCACUUCACAAGCUAUCGAAAAGCAUUUAAAUGCAUUAGAAGUUGUUCAUUGUACCUUGUCCAUGGUGCUGAAAAGAUCAGGAAUUUUAAGCAACAAAAUUUUCAGAAGAGGUGUGUAUAUGUGUGUGUGUGAGAGCAAGAGAGAUAGAGAACAGCCUUUAAUGGGAAGGUUUCUCUGUUGACAUAUUUGUCUUUGCUAAGAGUGUGUCUGAGUAUGGGAAAGGGAAACAUCCCUCUCCCGCCGGGGAGGGUGGAUAUUGAUGGUGAGAGCCUUUGAAGUGACAGACACUAAUCUAAAGUUGGUCUGGACACAUAUAUCUAAUGUCAAACAAGUGGAGUGGAAAAAAUGAUGGCUUGAAUGAGAGCAACUAAACAUAUCACAGAUUCCCACCCCCCCCCCCCCCCCCACAACACCAAAAAAAACAACCAAAUGCUCUCUGGAUAUUAGGUAAGAGUAGUUAUUAAGGAAUUAAUAAUGCAUUGUCUAAUUUCCUAUGGUUUGCUUUUCAAAGUAAAAUCCACCAGAUAAUUGAUGUCAAGCAACAUAUAUGAGCACAUCGUCCAUGUGUAACUUCUUUCAGUUCUCCUAUGAUCUUGAUAUGUCAUUGGCCACAAAUAAGUCAAACAGUGGUCUUGUUAUCAAAGACAAUUAAACUGGAAUCAGGCAAGAAAUUAUUUAUUUAUCCAAGGCAUAAUGUUCAGUGGGGAUUAAGCAUCAAUGGUCCAAAACUUAAAAAUUGGGAUAGGACCAGAUGGUAAUGCAAUCCUUUUAAUCCCAGGAGUCAACUGAUCCUUAUGGCUAAUGACAUUCACCAGAAGCAUAGUUAAUGCAAAAUUAUUCAAGCAAGUUUGUGCUCUCCAUUCAGUAAUUUACCUGCAGAAAUCAUAGACUUAAAAAUUCUAUUUAUUCUUAUAUGAUCUUCAUAACCCCUUGUGAAUUUGGAAAUAUAGUAAACUCUCAAAUCCCUCAAUAGUAUUUUUAAAACUUACCAAGAAUAAAUGCCAUUCAUAUUCUUGCAACAUUUGGUUUUGUAAAAAACUUCCCUUCUUCACAUUAGUUCUAUUUUGACAAUUAUACUCCAAAGUUUUAUUAAAAUAUGUAUCAUAUUUGAAGUCUUAGUAUUCUAUUUUUCAACAAAUAUGAACCCUUGCCAUCCCCACCCCCACCCCCACCCCCUCCAAAAAAAAAAAAGAAAAAAAAACCAACACCACCACCAAAAUAAACUUCUGGGGUCAUUGUAGAUGUUUUGGUGGUGGCUUAAGAUAAUCUUAAAUGGAAUCAGGUAAGAUAUCUGCCAGCUAAAAAAGAAUAAAGAAAAUACUGCUAAAAUUAGAAAAAUGCCAAGGAUAAAUUAAAAGAUGCCACAGAUGGAGAGGCAGCAGACAAUUUGCAAAGUGUCCAAUUUGCCCUUGUAAUUAUCAAUUAUGAAUUUUGGCUGGAAUUUUCAACCACAAUCAAGAAAGUGAACAAUUAUUUUAAUCAUGUAUGAAGUGCAGCUUUGUGGUCAUAUAGCUUUUCCCUUAUUUCUUUGAAAAAAUUACUUACCUGCACAACUGAUGUUUCAAGAGUUUUAACUAUUUUUAGCCCACAAAUAACCAAGCUGUAAUAUUAGUAAACAUACUUUUGUGAAGCUUAAGUAGAAUGCUCAAAUCAUUUAAACCUUCUAACUGUUCAAUCAAAAUCUCUUAAUAUUUUUUUCUUAUGUUCUCUAGGGAUUUGACAAUGUUGUAUUUAGAGGUGGCAAUUUGCAUUGAGAUCCAUUUAUCCAUUCAUAUAAUCUAUAAUUAAAUGAAUUUGAAUUAUCCAUUUAUAGUGUUGGUUUUAAAUGGUUCAUCAAAGUAAAACCAUUAAAUUAAAUGGAUUUAUAUGGAUUAUCUACAAAAACCAUAUAUAUCCAUUUACUUAAAACCAAAUAAAAGAAACGGACUUUCAGUCCCCAUUAAUCCCCCAAAUCAAAGGUUUGUUUAUCUUUCUUCAUUCUUCCUUAUCCAUACGCGUACAGAUUCAAAAUUAUCAACAUCGCUCCUCCAACUUGAAAGAUGUUCUCGCCUUCAUUUUUUUCAUUUCCUGUCGUGUGUUUUCUAGUGGUGGUUCAACGUGGGCAACAUUUCACUUUUGUGAGUUCCUUGCAGAGGCCGUAGUCUACGAAAAUCACAGGACAAUCCUCAUAUUCGACAGUCAUGGAAGAGUUAACUCUAGCGCAACAGAUUUACCAUUGCUCCUGUGUUGGAACAAAAAUGUUGCAACGUUGAUUCGUAAAUGAUCACGCAAGGGAAGCAGAAAUCAACAUUGCUGUUUUACAAAUAUCACGUCGUGGAAUUGUAGAGCUCUUAUAUAGUAUUAAUUAGUACUUUUGUUUAUCAAGAAAAAGAAAACGAAACACUAGUAGUACUCAUGUUCAUGGAGUUCAAACUUGAGUUUGAAUAGCUCAAACUGCUUGGCGGAUUUAGUUUGGGCCUAGCAUGUGAAGUUUGAAAGUUUAUCGAACUUAAUCGAACUUCAUACACACACACGUGUAUAUAUAUAUAUAUAUAUAUAAUAUAAUAUAUAUAUAUUAUUUAUUAGUAUAAAAUGUCUAUUAUCCCUUGUUUAAAAUAAAAUUAUAUAAAAUAUAAAUUAUAUAGACCUCCCUUCUUUGAUUAUGAUGUGAUUCAGUCCCCAUUAAUCCCCCAUUAAUUACCAUAUGGCUAUUUGUACAACAAUCUUCAUGGUUAGUUCCAAUUAUUUUUGUCAUUUAUUGAUUUUUGUCAUUUUCAACACCUAAAAUUUACAAGUACAUAAAAAAAUAUCUUCAUAUUACAAGAAAUGGUAAUACAAAAAAAAAAAAGGAACCAAAAUAUUUAAAUGGAUUAUAAAUGGAUAAUUGGUUUUUAUUUAAUCCAUUUAGAUCCAUUUAAUCUAAAUGGAUUGGAUAAAUUUCAUCCACCAUCCAUUAAGUCAAAACCAAUUAUGAACCAUUUAUCCAUAUUACCACCUCUAGUUGUAUUUGACAUCCAGCAUAAAAGUAAAAGAGUUACAAAUGAUAAUUAACCACGACACAGCUUAUGUCAUCAAUUUGAACAAUAUUCAGUAACCUAUUGUGAAGCUUGAGUAGAAUGCUUAAACCAUGUAAACCUUCUAACUAACUGUUCAAUCAAAUAGCUAUAAAUAUCAUGCAAGGUUCAAAAGCUUCUUCAUGAAUUCUUUCAUAACUCCAACCAAGUGAAUUAUUCAAAAUAAAUGACCAACCAAGACAAAAACGCAAAAUUCAUCUUGUAAUAUAAAGCUUAAUUGUUGUUACCAAGUCUCACUUGAUACGAAAUGAAGAAACACCAAAAAUUCCCUAGAAAAAUAAGAGAAUCACAAGGAAUUCAACAUCUUUUAGACAUCUGAUCAAACAACAGCCAUCAAAACUUUCAUGGGAAAUAUAUGAACUCAUGUAUGCAUACCUACCUUAGCUGCGUCUCUUUUUUUUUUUAAAAUAAAUUUCAGAGUACAGGCAGAAGAAAAGCAAUGAUUUAGGGGAAAAGGGAAGCAGAAAAUCUAAUGCUAGUUCUAAACCAAGGAAAGCAAGACUCUUGACCAGCAUAAGAUCCUCUGAAACAGAGAAAAGUAAGCACAAUUUAAUGGACCUUUGCCUUGCACAUCUGCACGUACCACAUAUUUGUAUGCAAGUCUAAGGAACCUCUUAUCUGAUUAUAUUGAAAUGUUAAAGGAUGCAAAAAUAAGCAAAUGAUCAAACUUUUCCAAAAAAAUAACAAUAGUUGGGACCACUAAUGAUAGGACAACUAAUCCAGUUUUCAGAUACAAGUUCGCUCAUAAUCACCAAAACAUAAUCCAAAGAUGCAUACCACUGAGACCAAACAGUACCUAUUUUUUAGAUCAAGACCACGAUAAAGGACACUGAUAUCCAUCUCUGUAGAUAAGGCUGUCAAUGUGCCCGUUAUGUCAUCAACAUGUUCACAGGUAUUCUGCCAACCCAAAACUGAAACAUGCAUAGGCAAAGAGGUAAUUUAGAUCUUCUGCAAUAUCGACAAUGAACAAAAAAGUAGUUCUUUCGACAUCCAAUUCACUCUUGCAUUUAGGCAAAAGACUGAAAAAAACAAAAAAAAAGAAGAUAAAUACCUGUUGUGAAAACAUGUGGUGUGGUCGACAGAAUAUGAUGGAUGUAGCUAAGCUUUCCACAGCCACCAGCUUCAGGAUCACAAGCUAAUUGGUGAUUCAUCUCAACAAGGUUCAGAAGCUCAUCCAAAGAGCUUUCUGGACACAUAACCUGAAAGGUAUCUGCAGACAACCACAUUUUUGGUUAAGAGGAUAAGAGUUUCCACUAUCAUUUAUGUAAUAAACUUGGAUAUUUGACCAGACUCAAACAUAAUAUACCUUCAUAGUACGCAGAGCACUGGCAUUGAUAUUGUGGAAGAAUGAAGUGUACUUAAAUGUCUGGACUCCAGACCACAAUUGUAACAAUUCAUUCUUUCAAAUGUGUCCAUGCCAAAAAGAGAAUGUGCAACGCAAGCACCAUUUGUCUAUCUAAUGAUUCAGCAUCAGAAGUACACAUGGUUGAGGUAAAUAAUCGAUGAAGGCAAUCAAAUAUGACACCCAACACUUCAGAAGCAUCAUUCAUCUGUCCCUGUAUGUAGCAUUUGUGUUAGCCAAAUUUUAUGAACUGAGGAGUAAUCAGACACCACAAGCAUUCACUCCUGUAGGUUUUACAGGCUAAUAAAAUUGCAGAUAGAAGGAAAACUUGAAAAAAUAAAUAAAUAAUAAAGAAGAACCACCAGAAACAGCUCAAAGAUUUACUUCUUGGAAGAAAUUACUAUCCGGAUAGAGGUUGCUAAGAGCAAUUCUCAGGGAAGUAGGGGCAACAGCUUCUCUUCGUGCAUCCACUGAAGCAGUGUUCAGAGCAGAAAAAAUAUCAUAUAAUGCACAUACAACACAAGGAUCCCCAACAUGUACAUGUUCUGAUAAUGACCUCCUCAAAAAUUCAUCUCAAAACCGUUGUAAGUGCCACAAAAACUGAAAAUAAAAGACGCCAAACAUAGCAGAGCGCAGCAUAGACAUGAUACUUGAAGAUAAAAAAACCAAGCUAAUCGUUGACCCCAAGAAGAAGCCAACACCACAAUGACAAAGUAAUACAGGGAAAAGGUUCCUAUAUCAAACCUGAAUAAUGACCUUUAAAAAGCAAUUGUAUUCGCCAAUUUCAUUCUUUAACCCUGUACCAUAUACAUUCAUCUGAUCUAAUGUUUCAGUCAUGAUCUCAUCAGCUUAAAUGACUGAGUCAGUUGUAGCAGGAAAGGUUUUGGGUGGCAUUCCCAACUUCGCUGCAAGAGGCAAUUUCUGAUGCGCGUGAAAAGAAUCUGGCAUUAAAAACACAAAAAGAUGGAAACAUCAGGUAUAAGAAACUAUAACAAUGAAUUUGCAAGCAAGCACAUCACGAUGAAAUAUCUGUAAUGAUCAGACUAAAUUUAGUCAAAGUCCCUGGGUCAAAACCCAAGAAAGUUAGUUGUGUUGCAAUCAUUACCAAAUUCACCAAACCACCUUAUCCUUUAGUAAUUUUUUUAUUUUGCAGACAAGUACUGAUUAAGCCAGGAAAUUUUGUUCAUGAUCACAACAAAUAGGUUUGGGAAAAGCCAGAAAUCAGGCCAAGUUAUCUUCCAAAAUGAGGAAACUAAUCUUUUUCAUAUAAGAGAUCCCAUUCAUUCUUGUGGGCAAAUUUUCCAACAUAGUACAUGCAAAAGGAAGCUUUAGACCAGCUGAAUGAGGCUGUACUCAGAAAAGAAUAAGGUCAUUCUGCAUCGUCCAAAAAAAUUGGUAUCAGGAAAAAAAUUGCUCACUUGUUUGUAGAAGACUCUGACAAAAACAAUCCAAAUAUAUGCAUGUUCACUACAGACAGAAACAACACAACAAUCACAUACAUGUAUAAAAUUACAUACAUAAAUACAUGCAUGUAUACGUAAAUCAUCAGUGACCCACUGCAAUUCUUGAUUUCUCCAAAAAAAAAAAAUACUAAAAGCAAAUAACAGCACUCCAAACACAGAGAUAGGAAAACACGCAAUGGAUUCUUGAUAGACAGCACAAGACUUUAAAUCUUAAAAAAAUGAAAAGUUCAAAAGAUUAUACUAAUUCUAAUAUGCUACACAGGUAAAAUAUACAACAUGAACUAUAAGUGGAACUGAUGACUCACUAAAUAAUUAGCUACAACGAUGAAUUCAAAGUAGAUACUUAAUCGUUCACCUAAAACCAUCAAAGGAACACAUUCUAUGACAGGGCGCAAGACUUAGGAUCAACAGAGUCUUCAAAUCAUUCUGAAGUCUUAUACAGUUGUUAAAGUUCCCAUUAGAGUACUGAUCUUAUCAGCAAAUCAUAAACUAAAAUUCAACUUAAAACUGUUUCCAAAAUAAUACACAUCAAAAGAGUCUUCAUUAUAAAGUGAAAUGUAUAUAUUGAACUCACCAUGUGCUUCACCCAAGGGUUUCAAUUCCAAGUUUUCCUUUUCUGAUAGCACGGGCUGGUUAAGUCUAGCUGCACAUUUUUGCCGUCUAUUUCUCCUUCCUGACCGUUGAUCAGAAGGCAAAAGGCCAUCCUCCAAGCUUCCCCCAUUGGGCAAGCCUAUAAGACAUGGCCAACUCCAAGAAGUUACAAGCAUUCCAAUUCUAAAAAUCCUUGCAAAAACAAAUUAACAUUUACACAGCCAAGUAAAGUUACUAGCUUUUUGUCCAACUCCUCCAACUCCAUCUUCUGGAAAACCGUCCAUAGCAUUUGAAAAUCCACUCCUCUGUACCAUGCAGGGUUCGCCAACUCGGCCGAGUCCGAGACGACUCGGCCGAGUCAUAACCGGAACGGCAGGUGCGUUCCGAUACCGAUACCCGAAACGCCAAUUACACCAUAUCCGAUUUGAAUCACUCCGAAUCAGUCGAUAUCGUCCGAAUUAACACCGUGUAGCAAGAUAACGGUCAAUUUUUCGGAUUCAACUCGGAUAUGUACCGGCUAACAAGUUUACACACCAACUGGGAAGCCAAAACCAAACAAAAAAAGAACCGACACUGAAAGGACACACAAGGCAUCGCACCACAGUUAGCUACGGCUGUUGCAGAGCCUUUUACAAAACCAAACAAAACUACAAUUACAAGGGGUGGUCCACACGGUGUUGCAGCCUUUUCCCAUGCUUUAUUGUUUCAUUUUGCAGCCACAAAGACAAGGAAAAAGUGGCGAUAAAGAGAAGCAUACCAGCAAUUUCUGCAAUUUCUUCAUCGCUCUGCAAUUUCUGCAAUUUCUUCAUCGUUCUGCAAUUUCUGCAAUCCAUCAAUAGUUUUUGAGGUUCACUCCAGAAUAAAGGUGACGGCCGGCUGGAGAAACAAGCCGAUCGGUUCUGCAAUUUCUUCAUCGUCCGGCUGCGGCUCAAAACAGAGGUGACGGCAGGCUGUUGGAGGAAGACAACAAUAGCGGGAAAGGAAAAGCAAAAGAAAGAGUAAAGGUGACAGCCGCCUCUUCAAUUUCCACCUUAUCUGGCCGUGAAGGAGGGGAAAAAACUGAUCAACGGAAAUUGGGAAAAAAAAUGAAGGGAAGAGUCAGAGGAAGAAAUGGCUAAACUUGAAGGGAAGAAUCCAGUGACUUGCGGCUGCACUAAACAAACCGAAGGCCGUGAAGGAGGGGAAAAAACUGAUCAACGGAAAUUGGGAAAAAAAAUGAAGGGAAGAGUCAGAGGAAGAAAUGGCUAAACUUGAAGGAAGAAUCCAGUGACUUGCGGCUGCACUAAACAAACCGAAGGGAAGAAUCCGCAAGUGCACUAAACAAACUGAAGGACUUGCGGCUGCACUAAACAGAAGAUGGGCUUUUGUACCAAGCCAGCCAUAGGGAAAAAAAUUGAACGAAAAAUUAGAAGCAUGUAAAGUCCAGCUUUGGCCCAAGUAAUUAAGAGAUUAGGCUCCUAAUCUUAAACCCAAGCAUCAGUCAGGUCCGCAUCUUCUUUCAAAAUAACUUAUCAAUUUUAAUUUUUUUUAAUUUAGCAUUCAGAUAUGAUAUUUAGGUAUUUGUAAAUUUAAGUAAUGCUUUUUGACAUUUUUUACAUAUUAUUAAGUAUAUGAUUAAUUUGUAUUAGUAGUCUCUUAUCUAAAUUUUAGUUAGAAAAUAUGUAGUGAUUAUUUGGAUACAUUUUAAUGAUCAUAAAUGUAAUUUAUUUAUUUUCAUGUAUCUCAAUUAUGUUGGUUAAAAUGAUUUUAGGCAAAUUAAUUCGAAAAAGUAAAAAAAAAAAAA